AAAAAGAUUAAGAUUAAUAAGUUUGUUUUAUAAAGAAGAUACACAUAAUACACAGAGAAAUCACCAGAAGAGAAAUACACCAAUCACAAAAAUAAAAUUUUCAAAAGGAUAACAUAAACAUUAGCUCAGCCACGCUUCACAGGAUCAAAAUUGGAAACACCAAUCACAGCUCCCAAAAUGGCAACAAGCACGGCACCACCAGCCCCAAUGCUGAGCAAGAAGUUAUUCAGCGACGGAGUAACACUAGACGCCGCCUCUGCUACAUCAGGAACCACCAUCGACGCCGUUAGAGCUGCGGCGGUCAAAGCCGUCACUGCCUUCUCCUUCAAAGAGCUCUGAACCACCAAUCGUUUGGAUGGUGCAGCCACUAUCUUAGACGAAGAAACCUUGAGUGUCAAUGGGUUAAAGAAGGAGUUCGAUGGUGGGAGCGCAGUCUUGUGGGUCAAUGGCAUAGCCAUGGAAACUGCAGAUGUGGAGGCCAUUGAUGCUUCUUCUUUUUUUGCUUCUGUGUGUCGAUCGAUGAAAAAAGAAUGAUGGGUGAGUUAAAGGAAGGUUGAGAGGUGAGAAAUGGAGAUGAAGGGUAUUUGUGAUCUCCAUAUCUUGGAGUCCGAUGUGGCUGCUUUUCCACUUGGUUUUGGUGGAUAACCUUAUCCUUCCAUCCAUCCAUGCAACCUCAUUAUUUUUAAAUCAAAAUUCAAUUAAUUUGUAAAAUCAAUGUCUAUGUGCAUUGUGAUUUUGUAUAGGUUUUCAUUUUAGUAACAAUAAAGGUGUAAUUUUGGUUUUUACUUAAAACUAGGUUUUUGCAUAUCGCGAUGCAUUGACGACAAUUUGUUUGGUAAGGUGAAUUUUGAGAAUUUUAUUGAUAAAAGUUAAGUAUAUUUAUAUGUGAUCGAACUCAUACGUAGGAAACAUAUAUAAAAAUAAACAUAAAAAUGUAAACAAAAUUUUCAUCGAAAUACAAAGAAGCUCGAAUUUAUACCAAUACCUACAUAAAAUUAAGUAAUCAAUAUUAUUAUUUUUUAAGUUAACGAACAAAAAUUCAAAUAAUCACAAUUGUAUUAUAUGUGACCCGAAUCAUANNNNNNNNNNNNNNAUAUAUCGAAUUGUAGACCAACUCAAAUUUAUACCGACACACAUGGUUGUUAUGUAACAUUCUGUUUCGGAUCGUUCUGUGAUUUAAGGCUCGUGAGCCGUAAUUUGGGUAUGAGAAGGUUUUUAGGCUUUAAGAAGAAAGGUUUAGACCUUUUUGGAUGUGGGUAAGGUAGGUUGUGUGAUUAAAGAGUUCGGUUUGUGCUCUAGAGCCCAAUGGUAUCGGUAAAGGCGUUAGUUCGGGCCUUUCAUGAAUUUUGGAUCUGAGCUCGAGUGGGUUUUAGGAAAAAUAAAGUUGAUAGAAGUGUAGGGAUUCUCUUUACCUUUUCGUGGAUAUAAGGAUCAUCGGAAACGGACUUAUAACGAAGAAGUUAUGACAUUCGGAAGUUUGGUGGUUUCAGGGUUCAGCCGAGUACGCAGGGCGUACACAAAGGGUACGUGGGGUAUACUAGUGAAGUGAGCGGUAUGCGCGUACCUUGGCAUACGCUGGGCGUACUAACCAGGAUGGUCACGGGUGCUCUUAGGAGUACGUUGGGCGUACCAUAUGUACGUUAUGCGUACUCCAAUUAGAUUCAAACCCUAUUUUAGGGUCGUGGACCCUAUUUAAGCUCCUUAUCUCAUAAUCUAACCCUAAUAUAUUCAGCCUCCGUCCCUGUAAACCCUAGAAAUCGACCCUUAGCCUCCAUUUGAGUGAUUCUUGAGCUUUUUAGUGAUUUAGUGGGUUUUUUGUGUUUAUUGUGGAAGAAGGAGCUUCUUGAGGAAGCAUUGAUUGGCUUAUAUCUUGUAGAUCCAAGCCCUAUUCAUAUUGAUCUAGCUCCAGACAGUAUAAAGUUUGAAUCUUGGUAGCUUUCUCAUGUGGAUCUAGUUGGGUUAUGACUUGUUAUGUUUGGCCCUUGAAGAAGACGGAUCUUGGUGAUCAAACUAUUGUUGGAGUAAAGCUUCUAGAUCCAGAUCUUUCAUCAACUUUGCAAGCUACUAGAGGUAUAAAGUCUCUAUCUUGGUGAAUCAUGUGUUUGAUCUAGCUAGUUUUGGGUUUUAUGUACUUUUUGUCCCAAAGCUUUGGUCUUUAUGAGUAUGGGCUACUCUAGACCAUUUGAGUUGUCCUUUCUGAGGUUUUUGAGUGUUCUAAGUCAUAAAAAUGUGAUAUUAGUCCAUUCCUUCAGUUUGGGUUUUUGAGUUAAAAGUUAGGGUUUGGGUUUGAGCACAUUUAGCCAUGACAAGGCAUAAAUUUGGGAACUUUAUGUUGUAAAAUGCCUUCUUGGACGAGAUCUAAGUGUUGGGUGAAAAUACUUAACGAGUUAAGUACUUAAUGUGAGUUAUUGGCCUAUUUAUGGAGUUAGAGUGCUUGAAAUCAUGUUUGGGCCCCUUUGAGUCAUGCUAAGGCUUAAAGCCUUCGACUUUAUGGAUUAAUUCAUUAUUAUGGGAUUAUUCUGACGGAAUAAGUCAUUAGAACAAGAAUUGGAAUUUCAUCGGGAAUGCCACACGUAAUUACUGGGAAGGCAGUGUGUUCCAUCCUGAGUCCCCGUCAAGUGAUCCAGCGGCGAACGUCGUGCGUUCUGCCCAUGAACGCCAUGCGUUCGUCUGAUCAUUGGAGUUGUGGGCUUGGACUUGUUUUGAGGUUGGGAUUUGCCGUUUUGGGCCUUGUUGGGUUGCCCUAUUGGGUCUAAGGAGUUAUUAAGUUGGGCCUUAUUAGGUCUAGUAUGGGUUUGGUCCUUAGAGGGCAUGUUCAUAUUGGGCCUUGUGCUUUGGGUAUAACCCUGAAUGUUAUCUGAGAAUGAUCUUUUUUGGCUCGGUGUGUGGAGUCGUUGUGCAGCGGACACGAUGGUAGGAUUUGUUAUCCAUCGACCAAGGUGAUUAUUCUCACUAUACUUACAUGUGUGGUAAUUUAUAUGUGACCGGAGGGUCUUGUUUGUGUUAUUGACCAUAGGGACUCAUUCGUAUUAUUGACCGGAUGGUCUUAUUGGUUUAUAUUGAAAUUCAAUCUUGACAACCUGUGCAUUAAAAAAAAACAAUUUUUUUUAAUUAACGAACGAAAGUUGUAAAUUAGCAUCAAAACAUUAACCAUUUUGAAUUUAUAUCGACACAUACAUUAAAACAUUAGUUUUUUUUUUAAGUUUACGAAUGUAACUUACUAAGGAAAACCAAAUUAAAUAUAUAUUACGGGGGGAUAAAUACGAAAGUUUAGAAAAUAGAUGGGAUGAAAGUGACAUUUUAUAAAAUUCAAAGUGGAUGUGGUGAAAGUGACUUUUUAAAAAGAAAAGGGAUGGAAAUAUCAUUUUAGAAAGUAUUUUAAAAAGUAUAUGGUGAAAAAUGUCCCUUUAGGGAUAUAAAAAUGUUAUUUUACAAAGUAUUUUAACAAGCGGGAAAGAUAAUUCGUUUUGUAAUUUAAAUUUUAAUGAUUGUAUUUAUAAAUAGGUAUGCAUCGUUACAUUUGACAGUUGUUAGAAAGCUGAAAAUAGCAAAAGAAAAAAAUAUAGGUUAUAUGGAAAAAAAAACAAACAAAGUUAAAGAACUGCAAAUAACAAAAGAAACCAUAGAGGUAAAUAUUGAAAUAUAAAAGUUUGGGAUUGAAAAAAUAUUCUAAAUAACGCAUGAUUUGCCGAUAAUGUCAAGUCUCUAUCUUUUUUGAGUCGUGGCCAGCCACGUUCUUUAUAAGGCGUGACUAAAAUCGACAAUUUUNAUAUAUAUAUAUAUAUAUAUAUAUAUAUAUAUAUAUAUAUAUAUAUAUAUAUAUAUAUAUACAUUAUUCAUUUUUAUACACAUAUAUGACUUAAGACAAUAUUUUGUGAAAUUUUGGUGACAAGUACAAGUUUUGGAAUCAUGGUAUAUUAUGACUAACUUUUUAGAACUUUGGUUUGUAAUAACAAGGCAAAUUAGUUUUUAUUUUUUAUUAUCUUUAACCAUUCAAUAUCAUUAUUUUGUUACUAUUUUUUUAUCAUUGAAAAUUCUUCUAACAAAAUAUUUAUCAAUAUUACAUGAUACAUAUAAUCUUAUAUUCUUCAUAACAUUUUUUUUCUAAUAAUCAACGUUAUUAAAUAUACAAAAUGAAAAUCAAAUGCCAAAUAUUAAAAAUACAUAGAUGUUAUUAUAUUGUUUUUAACAUUUUUUAUUUUUAUAACUAUAUUAUUGAUAAAAAUAUCACAGAUAUCAAAUAUGGCACAUAUGAUAUAUGCUUAGAGAAUGAGCUUCUUUACCCUCUUUUUUUUUUUAUAUUUAUAAGUAGUCUAUACCUAUUAAAUUUAAUAUAUAUUUGGUUUAAAAAUAUAAAAUUUGGGUCCCUCGUUUUUUAAUUUUUAUACAUAUUAUACUUUCACACCCAGAAUCAAAAGUUCAAGCUCCGCGCACGGCAGGAAAAUUACAAUUUGUGAUAAUUAGUUUAUAAAAUAUUUCAAAUAGAUAAGGAUAAACGUUUGAAUAUAUAUAUAUAUAUAUAUUUGUAAUUUUUUUUUUUGAUAAAUGCUUUAAAGAAGAUUAACAUAGUUUUCUAUUGCUGCCAUAGAAAAGGUAAUCUCUAAAAAGAAGAUUAUUGUAUAUUAUCUUUAACCAAUCAAAAUAACUAAAAAGAAAUAUAGAAAACGUUUGUAGCAAUUAAUCCAGAUCUAAAUUUGGUUUCACAUAUGCUAAAACAUUGUAUAUGUUUUGUCGAGCUUUUAAAUUUGAUAUGUUUUCCAACACCCACCUUUUUCAAUUUUCCAAUUCUGGUUUUGAUUAUGCUAGAACAAAUUUAAAUCCAUUAUUAUAUAUACUUGUUAUAACUUAAUUAUUUUUUAACAUCAAACAAAUUCGUCUAAACAUAAGCCUAUUUGGUAUGGACAACAUGAUAAGACAUGUUAUUAUACCCAAAAUUUGUCAACUCACAUGCCAUGUCAUCUUUAACACCAUUUGAUUUAUAUAGGAAAUGGUAUGCAAAUGUUAUAGUAAUAUAUUAAGAGAGAGAGAGAGAGAGAGAGAGAGAGAGAGAAUGGUUUUUGAUUGGUUAAUUCUCACGUUAUUUCUCGUGGACAUGAUAACAUUUCUUAACAUAACACCAAAUAACAUGAGAGGGGCGGUGUACAAGGCACUAUAACGCCAUUUUUUAUUGUUACAUCCGAAAAAUGCAAAAGCCCGUUGCCCGCUCAUAGUAGUCUAAAUUUUAGAAAAAAGCUACACGGAAGUAAAGAUGACAAAAAAAUAUGUACCCGAUAGGAACCCGAACCCAAGUUGGCCGGGUAAAUCCCUAANNNNNNNNNNNNNNNNNNNNNNNNNNNNNNNNNNNNNNNNNNNNNNNNNNNNNNNNNNNNNNNNNNNNNNNNNNNNNNNNNNNNNNNNNNNNNNNNNNNNNNNNNNNNNNNNNNNNNNNNNNNCAAUUUUAAAUAAAUAAUGAUGGAUACUUAAACAUUUAGAUUAUAAAACUGGCAAUUUUUUAAAAUAAAACGUGAAUGGAUCGAUUUCGAUUGUGACAAGUUAACUUGUAAAAUAAAAAAAUUAUCUAAAAGGAAAUAAGUCAAAAAUGUUGAUUGUUAAAGAUAUUGUAUUUUAUAUUCACUACAACUAAUAUAUGAUUAGUAUGUGAAAUAUCUAAAUGUGUAAGAAGAAUAAAGUUAUUUCACUUUUCACGUUUAUUAUUUACGUAGAAAUAGAAAUAAUUGAGCUUUGUAAUUUGAAAGUAAAUAAAACUUUCUACUUUUUAAUGUCUAGAAACAAUAGAGAAAAAAUCAUGCUUAAAGAAAUAUAAUAAAAGUAGUAAUAUAUGGAGAUCGGGCGAAAAAAAUUCAUACUUCAAAGCAACGAUCUAUUUAUCUAUUACAAUAAAGAUCAUAUAUUUCAACUUAUUCAUUUUAAAGUCUAAAACUUUUCAAUCAUAUAUUGUGUGCAUGAAUGCACCAAUAUAAAUUUAGGAAAAAAUAAAUCAUUAAUAAUAAAUCUAAGGGUAUAAUAGUAAUCUAUACUAUAAUUAAUUAUGGUAAAUUGAUAAAAUUAAAUAAUAUCCCCUUUUAAAUUAGGAUAUCAGUUUUAAAACCUCACCCCCACCAGAUUAGGGUUUUACGCUCCCUCUUCAUCUCAUACAGUACCCACACACAGAUAGAGACCCAAUAGAUCUACUCUUCUUCUUCAAUAGAGACCCGGUAGAAGUACUCCACACGCAUAACAGGUGAUGAUCCACUUUCCGUCUUAGGCCUCCACACACAAAAAGUUCCAGAAGGUAGAGCUUCCAAUUCGUCGGCUUCUGAUGAUGAACAUGAAGAAGAUUCUUCUAGUUCAUCAAUGAACAGCUUCCAUAAUGAACUGGUGAUAGAAUCAGAAGCAUGAAUCUCAUUAUCCUUUGAUUUGACUUCAUCCUUGAUGAGAAGAUCGCGAUUGAAAAGAGGAAAAACAGUCCAACCUCGCGAAUCGAUCCCUUUUGUUGAAACCCCUUCUUCAAUUAAAUCCAACGAGAAUCUAAAAUCGUCUUCAUCAAAAUCCCCAAAUUCGUGAAAUCGACCGGCCUGUUCUUUACAUAUGACUUUGGCGAUAGCCAUGGAUGUGUUCUUCGAUCUAUGAGAGAUUCUGGAAUCGGCUUCCAGGUAUGCACUCUAUUAUCUUUUUUAUUGUAAAUUUAGUCACAUUCAUGUAUUUAUUAAUUACAUAUGUUGUAUGUUUAAUCAAAUGGAGUAUAAAGAUUUGUGCAUCUGAUUUUUCCCGCCAAAUGUUUGUUAAAAUGCUUGAAUCAAAUAUUUUAGCCAAUUUUUUUUUAAUAUUUGAACUAUCACAUGUCUCUCAUACUAGCUUGUAAUGAUAUGAAAUUUGUUUCUACAUAUUCUCCUUUGUGUUAGAUACAAGUUAGGUUCAGAAGUCAUUUAAAUUUGAUUAAUAUUGGUUGAGUUAUAGUCCUUCGAACAUACGAUGUUACAGCUGUAUUUUUAGCACUCUUUGUUCAGAAACAUUUGUGAUCUUUGAACUGUCAUAUUUACCACAUUCUAGCUUGUAAUAAGCUAACAUUUUUCCAAAGUAUUGUCCUCUGUGUUAGCUACAACAUAGUCAUUGUAAUUAGAUUAAGUCGAUAAUUUGGACCAGGUGACUCGGGGAAUACUUGAUCAAGUGACUCGAGUACAUUCUGUUAGAAUAAAUUAAAAGUGUUUAAUGUCUAACACAUUAUGUUAGAAUUAUAGUUUUAUUCUGUUAGAAUAUACUAAAAGUUAUACUAUUUCAAAAUUGAUUAUGUUUUUUUUUUGGAUUUAAGUUUUGAAGGGGCUGCCAUUGAAGUGGAAAAUGAAGAAAACAUGGAGAACGUGAGUAUUCUAGCAUAAUGUUGUUAUUUUUUAAAAAUGUUAUUCAUUUUUGUUGAUGUUCUUUUAAAAUAUUUUAUAACUAUAUUAAAAUGUAUAAGACUUUUAGUUUGUAAGAAUAUGUAUGAAUUUGUAUUUAAGUUCGGAUGUAUAAGAAUAUAUUAAAAUGUUUGUUAUUUUUGAACAUCUCAUUUAAGAAUUUUGUUUUUAUUCAAUAAUAUUCUAUUAUAAUAAAAUCCUGAAAGAGUAUCAUUCUAACAAAAAAUAUUCUGAUAGAAUAAAAUCGGUAAAAAUUGAAAUUGAAUUAAUUAAAAAAUUCAGAUUUUUUUAAAUUAGGAGAAUUAAUCAUCCCUAAAAAUCCAAAAAUUACCUUUUAUAAAUGUAGUUAAUUGUCCAAAAUACCAUUUUGCUAAAAAUUGUGUGAUUAUAUGGUACAUGUUACCCAUUAUAAUAUCAUACACUCUCAAAUCAUAUCCAUUGAUUAAUUUCAUUCGUUGGUCCAAAUCUGUCCCGAAAAAAAUUUCUCUAAAAAUGAUAAAAAUUUAAGUAAUACUUUUACCCACUGUUCUAAUGACUUUGUAAAAAAAAUUAAAAAUAAGGUGUUUUAGAUACCAAAUUUGAUUUUAAAAGAUUAAAAGUGUAAAAGAAAAAUGUUGAACAUAAUUGAUCCAAAUAUAGGUGAUUCAAAAAUAUUAUGAUCUCUAACUUAUUAUGAUCUAAAAAUAUUUUGAUUCAAAUAUUUUAUGAUCAUAAAUUAUUAUAUCUUUUAUGAUUCAAAAUUAAAUGAUUCAAAAAAUAUAAUGAUGCAAAUAUUGCAUUGAACAAAAACUAUAUAUAAUUCAAUAUAUUAUGAUCCAAAAUCAUAUAAUUCACAAAUAUUAUGAUCCAAAUUACUAUGAUUCAAAAUGAUAUGUGUCACACNUAUAUAUAUAUAUAUAUAUAUAAAGAACAUUGCACAAAUUUAUAUCACAAACGAUACUUUUAUUUAUUAUAAUUUAUUUUAGAUUACAUUAUUUAAAAAGGUCAAACGUACAUCUUAAAACAUAACUAGAAAUGACAAACAGACGAAACUAAACUCCAACAAGCUUCCUCAAAAACCUCCUCCUCGACACGAUUAUCUUCCACAUUCAUCUCCUUAAGAAUACAUGUAUUUUUUAAAAAUUCAACAUAAUGUUGAUGAUUGCACAGGUUUUUAUAGUUCUCAACUUUUAUUUAGUUGUAUUAAUUUAAAAAUCCUUCUUUUUAGAAAAAGCUUUGUUAAAAAUAUUUUAUCAACCCUAACUUACUAUCAUUUCAGGAUAUCUAAAAAUCUUAUCUUAUUAUCUUUUAAGAUAUUAUAUUAAUCCUAAUUUACUAUCUUUGUAAGUUAACUAAUUCUAACGUAUUUUAUCUAUCACUCUAAGGCGUUCCUAAUAGUAGUUGGAUCUCUAAGGUGGUUGUAAUGUAACGUUCGCAAAUUCGGGCUAGUCAAUUUAGAGACAAUAAACAUCAAAAUGACAUUUUAUGGAAGAUUAUUUAGAAUGAAUAAUAUUAACCAACAUUGGAAUCUGAGUUACAACGAAGAAGUUAUGGGUCGUCGAAGUUUUACGGCUAAACCGGCACGGAACCGCGUAACGUAAAAAGUGAAUUUUUGAUAAAUUACUUUUUAGCCUUAUGGUUCUAAACAAAAGUAGUAGUAUACGUUAAACUGAGAGCGUGCAUAAAAAGAAUGUCCAAAUCUGACUUCGUAUGAGGAAGUUAUGAUUUUUCUAAGAUUUGGCAAAACAGUAUGCAGCUCAGAAUUCGAAUAUUAGAUCGACCGAUUUUUAGCCGACACAACCUAAAUGAGAACCAAAGAUCUUGUUAAUAGGAGCUCAACAAUAAAAAGACGGACGAAAACGGAUGUUGAAUGACAAAAUUAUGAAUUUUUAACGAACUUUACCUGUCCCGGCCUGUUAAAAAUAUAACUUUAAAAAUAAAUUCAAAAAUAGCCAAAGGAGUCUAAACGAAAGUUCUAAAGUACGUCUCCACCUACAUGUUGAUAUAAAGAACGUCAAAACGGAGCUCGUAUGCGAAACUUAUAGAAUUUAGAAAUUUAACAUGGUGGUUGCGAGGGUACAGUGUACGCCCCGCGUACAUAACCUGUACGCCCCGCAGUCUCGCAACUCAUGGAUCUGGAUCAAAAUGUCGCCCCACCUGAAGCUCGCCACUCGUCCCUUCUUACGCAUAGCGUCACUUCAUACGCAAGGCGUAGUGAGUACGCCCAGCGUAAUGCGCAACUAAGGCCUAUAAAAGGGAUACGAGGGUCUCCAUUGUUUUCCACACCAAAGCCAUUUCUUUCUCUCUCUAACUUCUCUCUAAGCCCUCCCAACCCCUAGUAACUUCUAAGUGCUAAAGGAAAGCCUCCGGGGUGCCAGAAGGCUCCGAGAAAAAGAGUUUUUCGGCUCGAAAGGUUCUGCCCCCGCAUAGUCUGGUUUCUAGCAAACCUUCCGGUAAGUGAUUUAUGCUUACCAUACUUUAAGUAUAGCUUAGGUUUAAAUUUAUUAUCGUUAUUAUGAACUUAUAAAAAAUACACACACACACACACACUCACACACACACACACACACAUAUAUAUAUAUAUAUAUAUANAAGUGUUAUGAUAAUAUCUUUUAACUACUCGCGGUACGGGGAAUCUGGUUUGAAGGGCCGCAUAGGGUUGUUGGAUUUCAGAAGUACUAUAAUGCCAAAAUGGUCCUGCCCUCCGGUGUUUCAUGACUGGCCCCUGUUUGUACAUAGUGGUUGAAAAGUAUUGUUUAACACUUAUAAAACAAUGUCGCUCGUAAAUAGUCUCUAUACAUCUUAGACUAAAAUAUAGUGGUAAUAAUACUAGGUUUCGUUGAAGGAAACGAUUGUUAGAAGCGAAGUGUUUUCCGAAUUUCGAGUCAUCACUUUAACAAGUGAGUGCAUAGUUAUUUUCAUCUUACACAUAGAUAUGAAGUAUUUAAUAUAAAUUACGUGUUAUGUGUGCAUAUUAUAUGUGUUCUUGAUAUCUAUGUUGGAUGAACGAUUUAUAUAUGUUUUAAAUGAUUUAAAUUGUAUAUGUAUUUUAUAUCUACGAAUAUGUUGGGUAAAACAUGGGUAGAUGAAUAACAAGGGAUGAAAGCUAAUAUAGAUGAACAUUGGCAGCUAUGGACUUAGUGCCCUAUGGAUGAACAUUGGCAGCUAGGGACUUAGUGCCCUAUAGGUGAACAUUGGCAGGUGCGCCACAACCUGUAGAUGUUUUUAAACUAUGAUGUACUCUAAACAUCGUAGCAGCUGCACCUAUAGGAUAGUAUUGGCAGUUACGACUAAUAGAGAACAUCAUAAUCCUGACAGUUGUGCUUACAUGAUAAUAUUGGAAAUUGUGCCUAAUAGAUAACAUUGGCAAUGAUGGAUUGCAUGUCUAUUCCUUAGGAAAAUCCUUAGGAAUGAAUGAGUAAAUGAUAGAUUAUUCUUAGGGUAAAUCCUUAAGAAAUAAAGAAGAUAAUGGGGAUGGGUAAUUGGGUGAAUUGUUUGAUGAUGAAACGUAACAACUUUAUUAUUAUGGGUUCAAAACCCUAUGUACUCACCAGCUUUCCCAACCUAACCCACUCGGUUUAUUUGUAUAAUAGGUGUCGAUACAAAGCUACAAUACACUAAGAGAUAAAAGGAGUCGUAAAUCACUAGUGUAAAUGAAUGUAAGGUCUGUGUAUGCUUAUGUUUCUGUAUUGACGAUGACAUCCCAAAGUUUUAAUAUAAACAAAAUACAUUUAUUCGGAAAUGCUUUGAUAAUAUAUUUAUCAUGUUCUCUGAGAACAAAUUCCGCAAUAUUAUUCUUAGAAAUGAAUACUCUAAUUUUCAAAUAACAAUAAAUAAAAUUUUUAAAAUGACUGUGAAUUUGGGGAUAUCACAUGUAAUGUAUUACCAUGAGCCCCCAUAAUCGACGUUGUUUGACUAAUGAUUACUCCGCUACGACGCUUCAUCAGACGUCGAAUAAUGAUUAAUAAGAAAGAUAUCCUAUCGGGAUUGUAGCUAGCAAUCGUAGGUCGGAGUGUCAAUCCCCGUAGGUCGGAGUGUCAAUCCCCGUAUAAAUCUAUACAUAUCUUUCUAGCUCUCGCAAAAUUAACGAUUACAGGUAUCAGGUAGCCGACUGUAAUCAGGCUAAGGAUGAAUAUUAACAACUCACUAAUGCAUUAACCUUAUGUAUUUAUCUUUUAUCGUUUAUCUAUUAUCUUUCUUAGGGAUUUCCUAUAAAUAUCAUAGUAUAAGCCCCUUUAAUUUUAUAUUUGAUGAUUAUAUCUUUUAGAUCUCAUAAUUAUUUUGUGUAUAUAUAUAUAUAUAUAUAUAUAUAUAUAUAUAUUUGUGAUACAUUUAUAGAAACUNAUAAACCCUAAUUAUAGUUAUUUGAAAACAUGAUAUUUGGGCAGAGUAACAAUUAGCUACAGUGCAUAUCCAUAUAUUUGACCAACAUAACUUCUAGAUACUAUGUUAUCCUAGGGAUUUGGCCAUUAUAACAUCUAGGUAUUAAUAUCAUAGCUUACAACUAUACAUAGUAUCUAUAGGUACAUUAUCCUAAGGUUUCUAGCUUUAUAAAACGAUUGAUAUUUAUGGAUAUAAAUAUAUUUUGAUAAAACAAUUUCAUAAGCAUGUAUCCGCCCCCCAAAAAAAAUUAAAAUAGUGCAAUAGGGGUCAUGAACUUACCGUAGUCACGUAAGACUAUUGAUGUAGGGUUAAAUCAGGCUCGACUCCGGGGACCGCUCUAAGGGCAGCAACUUCGAUAUUUUCAGAGUGAAUGAUGAUUGAAGUUGUGAAGAAGUGAUCUACAUAGCCUUCUAUUUAUAGUCAUGAAUUUGGGGUGCGUGCGCCGCAAAUAUUUGUGCGCGUCACGCGUGAUCAUCAUGGCUCCAUCCAGAGAAAGCCACGUGGCACAUCCCAAAUUGGCCAUGUUACUCGCAAUCCGAUCGAAUCCAAUGUCUGGCGCGCGAUGGACAUAGAAUCACACCUCACACGCACGAAAAGAUUUUUCAAAAAUCAUAACUUCUUCUUGCGAGCUCCGAUCUAAGCCAUCUCUAUAUCUAUGUGAUGAUCUCAACGGGUACUACAACUCUCCUUUAGGUUAUUUUGGCUAGUUUUGACUUUCAUUUUUGUAAGUCCCUAAUCUGCCUGUGUAUCAAUCAGAUCCGUUUGAUGGUGCGAAAUCCCAAUCAAACGGAUGAUGUAAGAUCAAAAAUAAAAGAGAAGGAGAAGAAGAGUUAAUAUGAAUCUUGUAUGUAUUGAUAUGAAUUAAUGUUCCAGAUACAAAAGAUUCACACACAUAUGCUUCUUAUUAUCUCUGGCCGUAAACUCCUUCUACUGUUUCAUCAAUCAUUAUUCCUCACCCUAACACCUCUAUUUAUACUUGAAUAUGGGUCGGACACACGUGGGCCGUAAAUGAGUUUACGGCCGUAAGGUGUUUACGGCCGUAAACUCAGCCGUAAACUAGGCCAUAAAAUCAUAAAAUAUUAUACAAAAAUACAAUUGCCCAGAAAAGUAAAGUAUAAACCAUAUUUUGACCCAACAAUCUUCCCCUUGGUUUAUAGCUUUCUUUUCUUAAUGACCCAACAAGCUCCCCCUAAAAAGUAGUUGGCUUUGCUUGUUAAUCUUCAUUGGGAACUUGGCUUCAGCAUUAAUCUUCAAAUUCUUCACAGCGUCAGGAUGAACAUAUGAAUCUUCCAUGAAUGACUUCAUCUUGAGCAGUUGGGCUUUUCUUCAGAGUUUGGCAUUGAUCGCACAUUGGGUGAGGAGGCUUGACGUACUGAUUCUUGAAAGAUAACGCUUUCAGCUUGAGAAUCUUCAGAGAGAACAUCAGAGAGAACAAAUCUUCUAGAUCACUUCAGCAGGUACAACAAUAGCAGCAGACUGAUUGAGGAGGCUUCAAUGCAAUCCGUCACAUAAUCUUCAAUUGCAGCUUCACCUUGCUUCUGGGGUUGAAGGAUUGAAUGUUGAAAGAAUAAUUUUCAUUUCUUGCUCCUUCGAAUGCGAAUUCUUCGAUGCUCAUGGAUGCAGCCUUUGGCUCAGAAAUCUUCAACACAAACUCCAUGAGUCUUAUCUAUACCUGAAAUCACUUUUCAAGACAAAACAAAACUAAAAGAAAACUUAGCACACAAAUUAAAACAAAAAUAUUUUUGGAUUUUUCAUAUUUUCUGAAAAAGAAAUAAAACAGAAAUAACACUAUUUUUUUAAUUUUUAUUUUAUUAUUAUUAUAUUUUUUUGUUUUUUUUUAAUUCUCCCAUUUUAUUUAAAUUAGAAGAAUACUAUGAACAAACUUAACAAAAACAAAAAUAAUAGCUAACUUUAAGAGUGAUUUGGGAUCAAAGUUGUUNNNNNNNNNNNNNNNNNNNNNNNNNNNNNNNNNNNNNNNNNNNNNNNNNNNNNNNNNNNNNNNNNNNNNNNNNNNNNNNNNNNNNNNNNNNNNNNNNNNNNNNNNNNNNNNNNNNNNNNNNNNNNNNNNNNNNNNNNNNNNNNNNNNNNNNNNNNNNNNNNNNNNNNNNNNAGGGCGCGUAGUGAUUUUAGGGGGUGCCGGGAUUCGAACCCGGAUCUCCCGCAUAGAAGACCAACGUCUUACCAGUUGAACUAGCUUGAAUCUUGUUUUAUUACUCCGAAAUAUGAAACUUAAACACUACCUGUCGCUACCUUCUUUCGAAAUUUUGACACUUUUAACCCAAAAACUCGAUUUCUUUUAACUUUAAAUUCCUUUUUUCAUCCAAAAUUAAAAUAAUAAUAAUAAAUAAAUAAAAAUAUAUAAAUUAAAUUAAAAUUAAUAAAUAAAAAUUGAGAGAAAAAUAUUUUAACUAAAAUAAUUUUUACACACCAAAUUUAACCACUUUAACCUUUGUGAUGCUUGGAUCAAAGUUGUUGGACGGCCUUAUUCCGCUUGUCGGUACCCUUAUCUUCACAUCUUCGUCUGACCGAUUGCCAGUAUUGUGGUCCACUUAAGCACGAAAGAUUUGUGACACUUUUUGGACAUUUUACCAAUGACAUAAUUCAGGCAUAUACCUAAUUGUAAAUUUCUGUAAUUAUGAUAACUCCUAAAUCUUAAAUAAAUUCACCUUAUGACCAUUUAACUGACUACAACCAGGGAUAUUGUUGUCCACCUAAAUCGAGCAGCGAGAUCUACAGACAAUCUGUAUGAGUUCAAUUUUAAGUGUACUGGAACGUGUUUCCCGCUUCCUGAUAUGCCCCAGCCAUCAAGAACUUCCAGAGUACUCCUUACACCGGGUGAGCAGACAACCAUUCAGAGAGAGAAGAGAUUCAGAAUUCUAUUGCUAACUACUUCAGAGGGGUUGAGAAGAAGAAGGUUGCAUAUGCUGUGUACCAGGUCGGAUUAGAAGUCGCGCAAAGGAGACAGCAUAUGGCUAACAGAUGAGAAGUAUUUCACACAUGUAUAUAUAUAUAUAUAUCCUGCAGAGAAAUAGAGUCGCAUAUGUUGUGUACCAGGUCGGAUUAGAAGUCGCGCAAAGGAGACAACAUAUGACUAACAGACGGAAAGAAAGAAAAUGGUAUUCUACAGACCUAAUUUAUCGGAAUUUACCAGUCGCCCCAUCCAACCGGAAUUAAUGACAAAAUCCGCACAUCGAGGAAAAGUUAAGCCAUGGUUCAAAGUACGGGUUCAAUUAAUGUGACGAGUAGAUUCAUGUUUAUNCUCAACCUAUCCAAGCGUCGUGACAUCAGGUUAAACGGAUCUAACUAGGUCAAAGUUUGUCGAGUCCUCAAAUUCAUUAGGUUCAACUUUCCUAGUCAAGUCCAUUUUAAAAUCUUUCGUGCCUACCAGCACAUCGAGUACAGAGCGUAGACGAUUCAACUUAAGUACGUUACGCCGAUUCAGGUUGCCCUUUAUCACUUGUUAAUAUCAUUUCCCAUCACAGUACUUACAACCGAGGUUGUCAACAACAGUUUUUUUUUUAAAAAAAAUAUUGAACAGAAAUGAGACUAUUUUUGGAUUUUUGUAAUUUUUGUUAUUUCUCCCCCUAAAUUUGUGCAUGGGUGAGAAUACGUUAAUGCGCAAAUUUUAAACCAUCCUGAAACAGAAAUUAAAAAAAUAAACUAAGACGACCAAAAAUAAAUUGAGAAGAAAAAGAAGAAGAAAAAGAAAAAAAAACUUAAAAAAAACUUAAUCCUCAAAACGUAUCAUUUUCAGAAAUCCAACAAGCACAUCGAAACGAGCUUUGUUAAAAGGCUUUGUGAACAAGUCUGCCACAUUGUUAUCAGCGUGGACUUGUUCGAUUCGAAUUAAAGAUCGUUCAUAACCGUCUCUGAUAAAGUGAAUUUCGAUGUGCUUGGUUUUAGAGUGUUGGACUGGGUUUUUAGCUAUUUGAAUUGCCGCUUCAUUAUCACAAUAGAUAGGGGUUUCAAUGUAAUUCAAACCGUAGUCCAACAGCUGAUGUUGGAUCCAGAUAACUUGAGAGCAGCAAGCUGAUGCAGCAACAUAUUCUACCUCUACCGUUGAAGUCGAGACAGUGUGUUGUUUCUUGCAUUGCCAUGAAACUAAUCUGUCACCUAGGUAUUGACAUCCUCCUGAAGUUGAUUUCCUGUCAAGCUCACAACCUCCAUAAUUACUGUCAGUAAAAGCAUAAAGAUUAAAUUCAGAAUUCUUCGGAUACCAAAGACCCAAUUUAGGGCUUCCUUUGAUGUACCGAAAAAUUCUUUUAACAGCAAUAAGAUGAGAGAGUUUAGGAUUAGCCUGAUAUCGAGCGCAUUGACAAACUGCAAACAUAAUGUCAGGUCGACUUGCAGUAAGAUACAUCAGCGAUCCGAUCAUCGAUCGAUAGAGAGUUUGAUCUACGGGUUCGCCUUCUGGAUCUGGAGUCAGGAGAGGUCGUUCAGCCAUCGGUGUAGAAGCAGAUUUAGCAUCGUGAAGUGCGAACUUCUCAAGAAUAUCCUCCACAUACUUGGCCUGAUGUAGCAAGAUUCCGGUUGAAUUCUGUUUAACCUGAAGCCCCAGAAACAUGGUCAUUUCUCCCAACGAACUCAUUUCAAAUCUUUUCUUCAUUACACUUUCGAACUCUUUGCAAAGCUUUUGGCUUGUUGAUCCAAAGAUUAUGUCAUCGACGUAUAUUUGUACGAGUAUCUGGUCUUUGUCGACAUGCUUUAUGAACAAUGUUUGAUCAAUAAUGCCGCGAGUGUAACCGUGUUCGAGCACAUGCUCUGUUAGGGUUGCAUACCAUGCUCUAGGAGCUUGAUGCAACCCAUAUAACGCUUUGUCCAACUUGUAGCCAUGAUUAGGAUACUUUGAGUCGACAAACCCUGGAGGUUGAUCAACGUAGAUUUCUUCCUUCACCUUGCCAUACAAGAAGGCAGUCUUGACAUCCAUUUGAAAGACAGUAAAGUUCAUAUACGAAGCAUACGCUAGGAAGAUACGAAUGGCCUCCAAGCGAGCUACUGGAGCAUAAACCUCAGUGUAGUCAAGACCCUCGACUUGUCGAAACCCACGUACUACCAGUCUGGCUUUGUUUCGCACAAUAACCCCUGAAUCGUCCUGUUUGUUGCGAUAGACCCAUCGUGUAUCAAGAGACUUCUUGCCCUUCGGUAACCCAACCAAUUUCCAAACACCGAUUUUUUCAAAUUGAUGCAAUUCUUCAUGCAUUGCAUCCACCCAGCUAGGUUCAUUUAGAGCCAUUUAUAUAUUCUUGGGCUCAAUUUGAGAGAUAAAGCAAGAAUACAGACAUGUAUUCACGUCUCCACUUUGAGUUCUAGUUUUAACACCACCAUCUAGCUGGCCGAUAACGUUUUCGAUCGGAUGAUCCCGUUGAACCCUAGAAGGUAUCUCUUGGCUAAUGUCAUUGAUAGAGACAAGUAGAGUGUGAAUGUUAAGACCUUCAUUUGGUUGUUGAGUAGUACCAGAUGGUUCUGCAACAUACUCAUCUACAAUAAGGUCAGGAAAGAGUAAUUCCAUCAGGGUUGAAGAGACAGCGGAAGCAUCAUUUGGAACGAACUCUUUCUCUGAAGAUAUGUGAGGUCUCGAUUCAGCAUCAGAAGAAUCAGUGUGGUCUGAUUGAGGACUGUCAUGUCCCAUGAACGGCCUCCCCUGAGGAGUAGCAGAGGACUUUUCCGAAGAUGUUGCAGAAGAAUCCCCCUCAAUUGCAGCAGAAGGCUCCCCCUCAGAUGAAGCAGAAGAUUCUCCCUUGCGCGAGUCAGAGGACUCCCAUUCGGGUGAAGCUUUAGACUUUCCUUUUGAUGAAUUAGAAGGUUUAGAUACAGGCUUGUAUACGACUUCUUCGUCUUCAUCUUCAGAGAUACUCUUCCAAUGCGAAUCAGUUCUAGAUACAUCAUUUGAAUACACGUUUAAGGAUUUGAAAAGUGACGUAUAAUCAAACAACCAGUCUGGACCCACUCUUGCGUCUGUCUCAUUCUCUUCCAACCAACGCACGUCAUAGGAUUCCACAAUCUGUUUGGUUUUCUUGUUAUAGACUCUAUAAGCGGUACGUGCAGCAUACCCAACAAAAUAGCAGUCAUCGGCUUUGGCAUUAAACUUCGGAUUGGCAUCUAGGUGAAGUAGGGUGCAAGGACAGCCAAAUACUCGAAAAUGACUGACCGAUGGCUUGUGACCAUAGUAAAUUUCAUACGGGGUUUUCAUUUGAGCUUUGUUGAUGAGCACUCGAUUCUGAACAUAACAAGCAGUAUUUAUCGCCUCCGCCCAAAAGAAAACAGGUAGCUUGGAGUCACACAACAUCGUUCUUGCAGCGUCUUUGAGUGUUCUGUUUCGCCUUUCAGCAACACCAUUUUGUUGAGGUGUAUGAGCUGAACUAAAUUGACGCAGGAUACCCUUUUCAGCACAGAAGUGAUUGAGAACAUAAUUCUUAAACUCUGUUCCAUUGUCGGUACGAAGCGCCUUCACCCUUUGAUUGGUCUGAUUCUCAACAAGUAUGAUGAACCUUUUGAUCAAUUCAGUGACGCCAGCUUUGUUGAAUAGAAAGAAAACCCACGUGACUCGAGAAAAAUCAUCAAUCACAACUAAACAGUAAGAACUUUUGUUGAUACUUAGCACGUUCACUGGACCAAAUAAAUCCAUGUGAAGUAAUUGGAGAACCUGACUGAUUGAGUUAACCUGUUUUGGCAGGUGCGGCUUUCGAUGGUGCNUGACACACAUUUUUCAAAAGUAAUAAAGUCCUUGACGGGCAAUCCACGGACCAUCUCAUUUUUCUCAAGACGAUUUAGAUUCUUGGCGUUAGCAUGACCUAAUUUUCGGUGCCACAGCAUUGCAGUUUGCUUGGAGAUCUUGGAGAAUAGACAAGUAACUUGUUCUGGGAGAUUGCUAUUCAUAUCAAUAAUAUAGGCGUUCCCAUCCCUUUUUGAUCUUACGAGAAUCCAUUCUUCAGGGAUGACAAAGCCUGGCUUUAAGACCAUGCAUUCCUUGUCAGUGAAAUGCGUAGAAUAGCCCUUGUCACAGAUCUGAGAAACACUUAACAGACUGUGUUUCAACUCGGGAGCGAAAUUCACGUUUUCGAAACUUAGAACUCCAUUUGACACGGUUCCCCUUUGAGUGAUUUUCCCUCCAUCUCCACCCGCAAAAGAGACAUACCCCCCAUUAAAUGAUUGAAUGCUGCGCAGUUGGGUGAUAUCUCCCGUCAUAUGCCGGGAACAGCCACUGUCGACAAACCAGGGUCUGACGACAUUUCCCCGCAACUGUCCCUGCAAAAUGUGCGGGUUUAAUUAGAUUUGGGCACCCAGGUCAUGAUCUUCCUGGGUGAUCCCGAUGCCUUUUCACAUUUAUUGCACUUAAACUUCUCUGAGGACACAGAGGAUGUAUUGGGAGCAGAUUUGGUCCUCCAUUUAUAAUUAGGUUUUCUGAAAAAUUCAGUCAACUUUGUCAUUUUAUGUUUAACAAUCUGCUUAAAGCAUGUGUUACUUCUACCAGAAUUGGUUGAAGAUCCACUAUUGCUUUGGGAUGAGCUUGACCUUGGCGUGGCUAUGCUCCUUUUUGGCAGACUGCUCGGGACAAGGUGAUUAAAAACCUUUUUAUGUCUGUGAAAAAUAUCCCUUUUUCUAUUUCGUUCAUCUGCCCAAUCAUCAUUUCGAGAGCGACUUCUAGAGGAAUUUCUAUUUAAAGACCUUCCUCUGAACUCGUUCUCCCCUCUUGGAAGAUUAUGACUCACAAACAUUCGAUUAAGACAAUUUCUAGCAAUAUGACCACUAGUACCACAAUUAAAACAAAUCUGCUUGUUAUUGUUAGAACUUGUGCUGCAUUUAUCAGAUUCGUUUUCCCUAUAAACACCCUUGCUUGUCUCACAGAAACAUGCAACAUUAUUAGGUUGUGAGGCAAGUGAGGGUGCUAUACUUAUUGAGGGUUGUGAAACUAGUGGUGUCUCAACAUUUUUAUCACAAACAUUCAAAUUGUCAACCAAAUUGUUCAAAAAUUUAUCAGACAUAUUAGAAGCACUCAAAACUGUAUCAGAGGUAGCAGCUACUGUAUCAGAAUAAUUAAAAACACCACAAGAAAUAUUGUCACUUAAAACAUUUGAAAAAGAAUUGUCUUUAUUUAAAAUGAAAGCUUCAGGUUUGGACUCGAUUUUAUUUUCAGAAACACAUCCUUCAACUUUGUGCUUUGACUGAUUCAAGGAUUGAUCUGCAGGAGAAGUAGAAAUGUUAGUACUUUCAACAUUAAUAAAUCCUCCCGAAACAAAACCGGAGGGCUUGCCAUAAAUCAUAAAUGAUUCAUUGACAAUCUCUUCUUUGGACAAAGGCUUGGACACAUAUGAAUGAUUGAAAGGAGGGGGUACAUGAUUAUACCCUAGACCUUUUGAUUGAUUCCUUUUAAACUGCAUACUUUGGUCUAUCAUAUUUGCAACCACCUCACUUGAGAAAUCAUAUUUUCUAACAUCAAGUUUGGCGGUCUCAAAUUUUCCUUUCAAAGAUUCAACUUCAGCCACUAGCUCAGCAUUUUGUUUGACUACAUAAUCAUAGUUUUCACAUUUGUUGCUGUAGUCUUCCUGGAGUCUCCUAAAGUCUUUAAUUUUUUAUUCUAGUUGAGCUUUAAGUGGUUUUUGUCCUUUUCGAAGUCGGUACCCUUCAUAUCUAAGGUCUUCUACGUCUCUUAUUAAUUUGUCAUUGAGUUCACGAAGAAUCCUAAGAUUUUCUACUUCAUUGCCUAAUGUCUCAAUUUUAUCCUGUAAAGUUUUCACAUAAUCUAUACAAGCCUUAGAGCAUGAUGGGAGACUUACCUUGGACGAAUUAGGUUCAUGGGAAGAGGAUACCAUCAAACCAAAUUGUAGCUUCAUCACACUGUCUUCAGCUGCUACAAUCCCUGCUGGAGAGUCAUCCCUUACUUGUGCUAGAUGAGCAUUUUCUGGUCCAGACAAAUUGAGAGCUUGUAUUUGAUCAUCCCAGUCGAAAGAUUGUGCAACCAUAGCCUUUUCAUUGUUUGCUUGACCACUGCUUCGGUUGUUCCCAACUGCAACCAUUGUUCUGUCAUUAUUAACCCUUCUAUCAGGGUGUGGGCAAUCACGAGCAAAAUGCCCUGGCUCGUGGCAAUUGAAACACCGAAGCUUUCCUUUGUUGAAUCCAACCUUCUUGUCAGCGCUCAUUCCCCAAUUGUUCUUUCCUGUCUUUUUGGCAAACUGUUUUGCCCUAAAUACAGCCAUGGCAAUUUGCCAUGUGAUGUCCAUUUCCUCAACGUCCUCCGGAUGGAUUUGAUCAAGAUCUGCAAAUGACAAUUGAGGUGGAAGUUCCCCAGCUACAAGAGCAUUGUAGCAAUUCACAAGCCCUGCUGCAAAGACAAGGUUUUCAUCACCCUCCUUUCCUUUUGAAGAGGAAGCCACAUUUGAGGAUGGAGCAGUUUGGGUAGACACGAGAGGUUGACUUUGUGGGUAGGGAAUGACCGGUGCAGGAUAAGAUGAACCUGCAGGGGUAUAAGAGAAGGAAGAAAGAGCAUUAUUAGUUGAAAUGCCAAGAUUGGCAGCUGAGUAGGAGUUCACAUGAUUGAUCUCUCGCUGCUUGUCAUCAAUAUCACACGCUUUGAUGACAGCCAUCACUUCAGCUAGAGAAAGGCGAUUGAGAUCCUUAGUCUUCUUAAUCACAGCUACAUUCAUGUCCCAAGAUUUUGGGAGAGCAUUUAGUAGCUUCUUAUUAAUUUCUGACUUUGUAUAGAAGAUCCCUGCCACAGUCAUCUCUGUGUUGAGAGUUGUGAAUCGCUGCAGUUGAGCUUCGAGAGUCUCUCCGGGAACAUAAUUAAACAUGUUGAAGCAUUGCCUCAGCAUAUCUUGGCGGCUUUCUCGCAUGUCUUCAUUUCCCUCAUAUACUUCAAUAAGGGCUUCCCACCAUGCUUUAGCAGAAGUAUACUCUCUGAAUCCUUGAGCAAUGUCUGGAGAUAAGGCCAUAGUCAAAAUGGCCAAUGCCUUUUCUUGUUCUUCUACACUCUCAAAGUCUUCAUCAGUGUAGUUUUCAAUUUUCUUGUCAACCACCUGCCCCCCAACUGUAGUGGUGAUUCUGACUGGAUCCUUUAUAACACAUUUCCAAAUCUUGAAGUCCUUCAUCUUUAUAUAUUUCUCAAUUCUAUAUUUCUACUCGGGGAAACCAUCAGCGGACAUGAGUCUUGGAAUCCGCGUGGUUGUUCCCAUCACAGCAUCGAGUUCUUGAUAUUGAUUAGGACUUUGUGAUUCCAUAUUUAAAGUUAAUUAUUUAUUUAAUAAGACAAAAAAAAUUAAUUAAUUAAUUUACUGUUAUGAACUCCGAAAAUUAAUUAAUUAAGAUUUUAAAACCGAGUUUACUGCCGAGAAAAGGUUUACUGUCAAGAACUGUUUACGGCCAUAAACUCCUUGUUUACGGCCCGCGAAAAAUUUGAAUUCUGGAACAAAGAAAUUGAUGAUGCAAUUUUUAAAAUCGAUUAUCCGAUAAUCGAUUUACGGCCAAAGUUUUUCAAAGAUCUCCGAGUUUACGGCCAAUGAUUACGGCUAAUUAUCUAUUAAAAAUUUAUUUUAUUUGAAAAUUUUAAUGCAAUGAAGUAUUAUUCUGAAAGCCUUAAGUCAGGAACUCGAUGUGCUGUAGAAUAGAUUCGAUUGCGGUGUAUGAAUCUUGAAUAGCUUGCGGCCGUGCUUGGGGUUUNUGAACCUUGAAUAGCUUGCGGCCGUGAACUUGGAGUUUACGGCCGUAAGCUCGGACCGUGAACUCUUAAACACACGAAAAUCGACUGGAAUAAAACCCUUCUUUCGCUACGAAUAUCGUUUUGAGCAAAAACACAACUGUAGGACGUCUUUGACACUGGUCUUGCUCUGAUACCAAUUGUAAAUCCCUAAUCUGCCCGUGUAUUAGUCAGAUCCGUUUGAUGGUGUGGAAUCCCAAUCAAACGGAUGAUGUAAGAUCAAAAAUAAAAGAGAAGGAGAAGAAGAAUUAAUAUGAAUCUUGUAUGUAUUGAUAUGAAUUGAUGUUCCAGAUACAAAAGAUUCAUACACAUACGCUCCUUAUUCUCUCUGGCCGUAAACUCCUUUUACUGUUUCAUCAAUCAUUAUUCCUCACCCUAAAACCUCUAUUUAUACUUGAAUAUGGGCCGGACACACAUGGGCCCUAAAUGAGUUUACGGCCGUAAACUAGGCCAUAAAAUCAUAAAAUAUUAUACAAAAAUACAAUUGCCCAGAAAAGUAAAGUAUAAACUAUAUUUUGACCCAACAAUUUUUGUGCCUAAUGGGGGUAAAAAUAAAUGAUUUUAUAAAAAUCAUAUAUCUCUCAUAUGGAUCCCGUUUUCGACACUCUUUGUCCUAAAGUUUAUAUUUUAAGGAGUACUACGAAACUCCUUUCGGCACUCUUUGUCCUAAGAGUUAUUAAUUUUAAUCAGUUAACAAAUAUUCUCCAAGUGUGUUAACAAACUUAGAAGAUUGUACAACUUUUUAGACGUUAAUUUUUUAGCCUAAUAGUCAUCUUAACAAAUAAAUGUAAUGGCACAUUUGAUUUUUAUUAUCUCGAAAUCAAAUAUUACAAUACUAAGCAAUUAGAUUUUUUUUUCCUAUUUUUUCCUAAUGGUGAUCAGUAACGGAAACCUCUCCGUUGUCACAAUAUAAUCCAAAAUUUUAUGAUUCAAAAUGAUAUGAUCCAAAUUUUUGUGAUCCAAAUUAAUAUUAUCCAAAAUGUAUGAUGUAUAAUAUCGUUAUGAUUCGAAAAUUUUUAUAAUGGUUAAAUAUCACAAACUCGAACCAAUAUUUAAUUCAAAAAAUAAAAAGAAAAAAAAUGAAAAGAAAAAAAAAUGAAAAAAGAAACGAAAAGGAAAACUGAAAAAUCGUGUAUAUAUUGAUCAAAAAAUGUAAAAAAGAAAACAUUUUAUAAAUAAAUAAAUAAAUAAAUAACUUAAAACCAAAUAUACUAUUACCUAAAAAAGUUUUUUUUUUAAAUUAAAAACAAAAAGUAAUAAAUAAAUAAAAUAAUAAAAAAUGCAAAAAACAAAAAAAAAAACUCAUUUAAAUGAUGUUCAAUAGACGUUCGUCGCACAUGAUUAUUCCCUCGAGUUCGUAUUAUGUUCCAUGAAAGUGCAUUGCGUGCAAAUGCAUCACGACCAAGUAAAUGGGUUUGACGUUUGUGUCGUUGACGAAAUGAUUGGUGGAGAAUAGUCAUCGUGGUUCCUACCAAUUUUUGGGUUCCUAUAGNNNNNNNNNNNNNNNNNNNNNNNNNNNNNNNNNNNNNNNNNNNNNNNNNNNNNNNNNNNNNNNNNNNNNNNNNNNNNNNNNNNNNNNNNNNNNNNNNNNNNNNNNNNNNNNNNNNNNNNNNNNNNNNNNNNNNNNNNNNNNNNNNNNNNNNNNNNNNNNNNNNNNNNNNNNNNNNNNNNNNNNNNNNNNNNNNNNNNNNNNNNNNNNNNNNNNNNNNNNNNNNNNNNNNNNNNNNNNNNNNNNNNNNNNNNNNNNNNNNNNNNNNNNNNNNNNNNNNNNNNNNNNNNNNNNNNNNNNNNNNNNNNNNNNNNNNNNNNNNNNNNNNNNNNNNNNNNNNNNNNNNNNNNNNNNNNNNNNNNNNNNNNNNNNNNNNNNNNNNNNNNNNNNNNNNNNNNNNNNNNNNNNNNNNNNNNNNNNNNNNNNNNNNNNNNNNNNNNNNNNNNNNNNNNNNNNNNNNNNNNNNNNNNNNNNNNNNNNNNNNNNNNNNNNNNNNNNNNNNNNNNNNNNNNNNNNNNNNNNNNNNNNNNNNNNNNNNNNNNNNNNNNNNNNNNNNNNNNNNNNNNNNNNNNNNNNNNNNNNNNNNNNNNNNNNNNNNNNNNNNNNNNNNNNNNNNNNNNNNNNNNNNNNNNNNNNNNNNNNNNNNNNNNNNNNNNNNNNCACCAUGCAUUGUACAUGAAUGUAUUUAUAUAGUUAAAACAAUAAAAAAAAUUCAUUAAUAGUAUCUUAAUUAUUGUUGUUAACUAUGACAUAACAAUUUUUGUAUUCUAAAUCAAAAGACUGAGAUAAGGAGGUUUCUACUAAAAGUUAUUAAACAUUAAACUAUUACUAUUUAAAAUACUCUAAUGUCUUUGUAGAAAGAAAAAAAAAAAUUCAACCACAUAAUUCCUCACGAACUUUUUUUAAUAUGGAUUAUAACAAUUAAUCAACACUACAAAAAAUACUACAAUUUUUAAUAACAAAAAAAAACACUAAGAUAUAUUUUAACAUUUUUAUUGGAAUAACACAUCUAAAUACCACUAAAUCAUAGAAAAAAAAACUUUAAAACAAUUUCAAUAUUAUAUAGAAAUAAAUAUAUGAAUCUCUUGCGUAAUAAAAAUUGAUGCGCCUAAAGGGAUUUCUUCGAAUCUUCAUAUUUGAAUUAUAAACACUUUUAAAUACACGGAUGUUUCUGCGACAAAGUCUUACUUAUAUACUACUAAAUAACUACAAUAUAUUUUAAUGAGGGGAAUAUGAAAGGUCAUUACUAAAUACCAUUAAUUUAAGAAAUAUGAAAUGUAUUUAGGUUUCAAAGAUACUUAUAACAUAUGUAUAUAUCAACAAAUAGAAAAAAUAAUUAGUAAAUUCUAUUGAUAUAAGGAACAUAAAAGGUCAUUUAGUUUCAAAUGAAUGUGGUUUGAGAAUACAUAUUAUCUUGCACCACAUCAUUUUGGAUGACCUCUUUUAUAGUAUAGAACUAGGCGAAUAGACGCANUAUAUAUAUAUAUUAAUAUAUCAAUGAAGUUAUUGUUAGAUUUUAUAUAAUAAUUAUUAUAAUAAGUUGAUAUAAACAAUUUUUUGUUUUGAAUUAUAUCAUGAUAUAGACAUCUUUUAAAAUUCUAUAAUAUCAAUUGUUUCAAUGGUUUCUAUUUCAGGUUACCCAUGAAUAAAACUAAAUAUAAUAUAUGGUUUAAUGAUAUUUAUAGUUAUUAUGAUUAAUUAAUUUAAAAUUUUUAUUUGAUUAAGAUUUUCUAAUUUAUACCAUUGUAGUUAACUAAUUAUUUAAAACAUCAAACAUUGUUUUUAUUUUUAAAGUUAACAAUGUAAUUUUUGUAUAUAAUGUUACUUUUAACUAUUCUUGUUGUAAGUUAUUUAAAAUAACGUAUUUGGAAACUCUUAAUUAUUUUAAUUUCGUUUCAAAAUUUUAAUUUUUAAAAAAUUUAUUUCAUGAAUAGUAUUCAUUUGUUUUAUUGUAACUAUUUGAAACAAUUACCAUUGUUUUUGUUUUUAAAGAUAACAAUAUAAUUUCUUAUAUAAUACUAAUUUUAACUAUUUUUAUUAUAAGUUACUUUUAAGCUAUUUAUUUGAAAUUUUUUAAUGAUUAUAAAAAAUAGUUUCAUUUUUUUUAUUAAUUUAGGAUUACAAUUUAAAUAUUUAACAUUAUAACUUAUAGCUUUUAACUAUUUAUAAAAUAGUCUUUCGAUUUUUUUCAAGUUUAACUGAAAUUUAGAUUUAAGUUAACCAUUUAACAAUAUAUUGAAAUUAAUAAUUAGCUAUUUUGCAUAAAAUCAUAAAUUAUACAAAAUGUGUGCCUUUAAAAUAACAGUUGCUUACAUACGACAACAUAUCUAAACUAAUAAGUUAAAUAUAAUAUGUUAAGAAGUUAAAGUCAUAAUUUUAUAAAUAAAAGUAAAAAAUAUGAUAUUGUAAUAUUGUAAUUUAGUUAGUUUAUGAUAAGAACUUAGUUUUUACAUUAAUUUAACAUUAUUAACCAAUUUAUAAUAAUUCUUAGAAAGAAAUUGAAAAGUCGUGGAGGUUUCAAAUGCAUGUGGUGCAAGUAAAAAUGAUUUUUUUAUAAGUAUACUAGGUGUAACCUCGCGCGUUGCGCAAUAAUGCAUUUAAGUGGUUAAAAUAAUUAUGGGAAAAAUAAAAAUAUGUUGAAAUUUACGUUUUUAGUCAUGUUUUGGGCAUUAACCGAAUGACCAAAUAACAUAAAAAUCCAUCAACUUAUAUUUUUAUACUAUCUAAUAUAGUCCAUACCUUAUAAACUUUACUUUUACUUUUAUAAUAUCCAAUAUAUAUUAUAAGUUUUUGUAUAACAUUAAUAUAAUCUACUUUUCUUAUGUCCGAGAAUAUUUUUUGGAUAAAAUAAGAAAUAAGUUGUUUUGAAUGAUCUAUUAAUAAACAAUAUUAAACUAAUAAACUUUGUAUUAAACUAUUUAUAUUACACCAAAACAUCCAAGGUUUCAUAUAUAAACUUUCAAAUAUUAAACAUUAAAAUUAAGAAUGAAGUCAUACAAAAUAUAUCAUUAUACAUAAAUGUCAUCAAGAGUUUUAAAAUAAGUCGAUUAGUAAAUAUGAUAUUUAAUUUUAAUUACAUAUUUUGUAAGGCGUACGUUUGAUUUUAUGUUGGUGCGCUGAAAAUCUUCUUCCUUAAUUUGUACCUAAAAAAUUAAGGUGAAUAGGAAUAUAAAAUAGAUAUUACUAAGCAUUAGUAUAACUAAUUAAAAAGGAUAUGUGGAUCUCCUACCACUAGUUAAAGACAACAUACAUCUCUAGUGGUAUCGAUUAUUAUAUGAAAUUGAAGAAGUCAUUCUAUGUACAUCUUGUUUUCUAAUUACAUAAACAAAUAUGAGUAACCAAACAUAAAAAUAUUAUCUUUGUGUAGGAAAAAUAUUUUAGUUAACUAACAAAUUAAAUAAUAUAAGUUUAAGAGUUAGGAGUUUCAAAACAUUAAUAUUUUUUUUAAUCAAUCAAUUAAGUAACACAUGUUGAAAUUUUUACAAUCAUUAUUAAAAAGCAUUUGAAAUAUUAGAUUUUAAAUGAAUUUUGGUUGAAGUGUUUUGACUNUAUAUAUAUAUAUAUAUAUAUAUACAGAGAGAGAGAGAGAGAGAUUGGAGAGAGAGAGAGAGAGAGAUGGAAAGUAUAACAUACGUAUAAAUUUUAGUUAAUUAUUUUUUUGAAGCGGUACAAUUACAAAACAAAAAAAACAUAUUUAAAAUAUUUCGACAUCACCCAAUAUAACAUAUGAUCAAUAUAUUAACGAUUAAACCACAAUAUACAAUGAUUGUAUUACAAUAAUCCAAAAAUGAAGAAAAUAUAAAAACGAAGUAGUAUAACAAACUUACAAAUUAAAAGCUCUAAUAUAAUAGCAUAUCUCCAAAAGUGGUCAUAAGACCUCAACCCAACACAAAAACAUUUAAGUUUGUUUUCUUUCUGAAAUUUGUAUAUGAUUUGUGUGCAUGUCUUCCCAAAAGAUUGACAUUUUUAUUGUAAAUUUUUCACUAAAUGCUAAUUAAACAUAAUAUAAGUUAUAAAACUUUUAAGUGUUAAAUCAUAAUUAAGAAAACUUUUGAGUUGCAUUAGUUAAAAAAUGGGGUUUCAAAUGAAUGUGGUUUGAGGAAGUUAAAAAAAGAGGUUUCAAAUGCAUGAGAUUCAAGAAAAAAUGCUAACUUAAAAAACAUAUUUAAAAUAUUUAAUUAAAUAUUUUCGACAUCACCCUAUAUAACAUAUGAUCAAUAUAUUAACGAUUAAACCACAAUAUACAACGACUGUAUUAUAAUAAUAAAAAAACGAAGAAAAUAUAAAAACGAAUUAGUAUAACAAACUUACAAAUUAAAAGUUCUAAUAUAAUAACGUAUCUCCAAAGUGGUCAUAAGACCUCAACCCAACACAAAACCUUUAAGUUUGUAUUCUUUCUGAAAUUUGUAUAUAAUUUGUAUGCAUGUCUUCCCAAGAGAUUGACCUUUUUAUAUGAAACUUUUCACUAAAUGUUAAUUAAACAUAAUAUAAGUUAUAAAACUUUUGAAUGUUCAAUCAUAAUUAAGAAAACUUUUGAGUCGCAUUAGUUAGAAAAGGGGGUUUAAAAUGAAUGUGGUUUGAGGAAGUUAAAAAAUGAGGUUUCAAAUGCAUGAGAUUCAAGAAAAAAUACUAGAUUUAUAAGUAUGUAUGAUAUAGAUAUAUAGAUAUAGAUAUAGAUAUAGAUAGACUAAGCGAACACAUGCGCAACUAUAUUGUUAAAAUAUGUUAGAAUUUACAAUCCACCUAUGUUUUCUUUGUCAUUUUUCAUAACGUUAUCAAAGACUUUUAUAAACACAUCUUUGUUAAUGAAACUGACUAACCUAUAGUUUAAUUAGUUUUUUAUGAUGUGAUAUCUUGUGUAAUGUGUCCGAUCAUAAAUGACGACGUUAAUAUUAUAGUGACGUUCAUAAAAUCGGUAUAUUUUAUCAAGAUGUCCCUGAAAGUUAGUUUAUAAUGAAUUAAAGAAGAUAACAUUAUAAGAAAAAAAUAUUGAAUAUGUCGUUUGCUUAUGUUAGAUUGCAAUAGAAGGUUGAUAAAAAUUAAAUGGUCUUAGUAGUAUAUUCUAAUAUACCAAACUUUGUAUAUUAAAACCUAUGAUAUAAUAAUGAGUUAAGUUAUUAAAUUAUUAAAGGAUAAUUAUAAACUAAAUAAUAAAAAGUAAAAUAAAAUAAACAAAGAUUAUCAAAAUAGGUGUUUCUGAUGGGUUUUGAGCAUAACAACAUUCAUAUGUCUUCAUACAACCCUAAUUACUUUGGAUUUAAGUUUUUCUCUAGUUAUACAUGCAAAUAGAAGUUCCAAAGCAAUAACCCUAAUACUAGCAUACAAUUGUUUGAAAUCAAUAUGAAAACUAGAGUUAGAAUGUUACCUUGCUUUAUAUCUCGUAAUAACAAGUAUUCCACGGAUGAUCCUGACUCUUAAAAUCUUUAGUGUCUCACGUGUUGCACCACUAACGGAAUCACAAACACCAAAAGCAAAGGAUGAGUGAGAGAAGGGCGGAAAAUUAGCUAGGGUUUCUGCUUAGGAAGAAGUCGCCGAUUUUAGGAGGUCUAGGGGCCUUUAUAUAGCUGUGGAUGCUAGGGUUUUUAAGGAAAAGCCUAAUUCCUUGCUUAGGCUCCAAGCAGCCCAUGGACAUCCCUUCUGGAAGGCCUUGGACGAUUUCUAUAGGGCCUCCCUAUAGAAAUUCGUCCACCCCAUUCCAAGGGACUCCAGUAGCCCGAUGUGCAACUAUCAAUGAUUUGCAAAACCAGUCCCCUUACUUUUAACCAGUUCCUUUAAUCCCAAAAUUAAUACCAAAUUAAUUUCUGAUUAAAUAAUAAUUAAAUAAUAUGAUUUCUAACUAAUAUAGUAUUCUUAUAAUAUAUUAAUAAAUCAUUAAAUAACCUCUCUCUCUCUCUCUCUAAAAGUCAUCAUGUCAAGUUGCUAUGGUGAAGGCAACCCAAAAGAACUACGCUCCUAUCAGAUCAAGUACAUACUAAUUAUAGUUAUGGGCUUAGACACCUAAUCCAACAGUCUCCCAUUUGGAUAAUUCUAAUAAUUAUAAUUUCAAGUAUGAAUUCAAAAUCUGAUUAGCAAUGGUAGCUUUCAAAAGCCGAUGUCGAACUCUGACGUAGUCAAUGACAUGUCCUUUAGAUAAAGGAUCAUAUAAUCCUCCGUUCUACAAGAUAUCAUGUGGACAAAGACAUGGAACAUAAUCAUUCUCAAUGUCUAAUAGUUUGUUUCUCGAUUUUUGAUUUGUUUGACAACGAACUUAAUUGAACACAUCAAUUCAGUACUGACCGGGGCCGACACAUAAGUCAACACAAAAUCAUCGAUGGACCCAACAUAUCGAUUUUCCCGUUAGGGAAAAAGGAACAAAUAAAUUUACUCAUCAAAUCAUACACAACAACACGUUUUAUAACAUCAUGUUACUGACGCGUUUACGCAUUAUCAAUGCACAACCAACUCAUAAACAACAACUCAUAUAUCUUGGUUUAAAGAUUAUACAAUAUUAUCCUCUCACAAUUACUUGUGAUAAAUUUCAUGAAGUAAUUCAAAUGAGUGUGGGUUUAAUCCAAUACUUAAAUCCUAUUUCAGGAGUACUCAUGAACGUUGCAGCAAACCUUUGCUAUGUCUAAGCACUUAGACAAUCUACAAGCCAAUUCAUGACAGUCUUGCCUCAUUUCUUACUUCCAAAUUAUGAACGACUGUGGAUAAUUUGAAUAAUUCAUUUAUUCUGGAAGUAAAAGAUGUAAAAGUGAAACAAUAGUAAACAAUUGACACAAGAUAGUAUACCUUACUCAUAAAUAAAUCUCAAUUACUUAAUCAUCAAAUGUCAAUUACAUUUAUCUAUUACAAGUUUCUAAACAACUAUCAAAUCACUAAAACUAAUAUCGUCCUUCAGACCAAUGCUCCUCGCAUACUGAACGUGCUUAAUCCAACUCAGACCCUUUGUGAGGGGAUCUGCAGGAUUCUCUUCUGGCGAUACCCUCUUGACCAUGAGGAGUCCCUCUUCUACCUGACGUCUGAUGAAGUGGUAUUUUAUGUCGAUAUGUCUAGAUCUGCCAAGAUCCCUUGGUUCCUUGGUUAAGGCAACCGCUCCUUCAUUAUUGCAAAAAAUUUCCAUGGGCUCCUUUAUGGCCAGUAUAACUCCAAGGUCUCCAAUGAAGUUCUCCAACCAUAUAGCCUCCUUCGACGCUUCACUCACAGCUAUGUACUCUGAUUCGCACUUUGAAUCAGCCACGGUCUCCUACUUGGAACUUUUCCAAGUCACUGCUCUUCCAUUUAGGGUAAACACCCAAACCGAAUGAGAGCGGAAGUUAUCUAUGUCGGUCUGAAACCUGGCAUCACUAUAUCCUGUCACUCUCAAGUCAUCAUUGCCACCAAGUACAAGGACCCAGUCCUUAGUCCUUCGCAGAUACUUAUGAAUCUUCUUAACUGUUGUCUAGUGAGCUCUACCCGGGUUCCCUUGAUAUCAACUUACCAUGCUCAACGCAAAAGCCACAUCAGGGCGAGUACAUGUCAUAGUGUACAUGAUUGAGCCAACGGAGGAAGCAUAUGGUACUCGACUCAUUUCCGAUAUCUCUGCAUUGGUACUCGGACUCUGAGUCUUACUUAGUUUGGUAUUGCUCUGGAUAGGUAACUCCCCUUUCUUGGAAUUUUCCAUGCUAAAAUGUUUCGGCACCUUUUCCAAGCAAGUACUCUGACUAAGUCCAAUUAGUCUUUUAAUCCUAUUUCUCAAAAUCCUUAUCCCCGGAAUAUAAUCAGCUUCCCUUAGAUCCUUCACAUCGAAACACAUCCAAAGCCAGGACUUAACCUCCUGCUAGGUUGGAACGUCGUUUCCUAUGAGCAGUAUGUCAUCAGCAUACAAUACUAGAAAGCGAACUAUACUCCCACAAGCUUUGACAUACAUACAUGACCCAUCCUUACUUCUAGAGAAACCAAACUCUUUGAAUUUCUCAUCGAAGCAAAGAUUCCAUCUACGAGACACUUGCUUCAAUCCAUAUAUGGAUUUCUCAAUGGUGCACACUCUAUUAGGGUAUUUAGCAUCCACAAAACCCUUUGGAUGACACAUGUAAACAUCUUCUGCCAACUUUCCAUUAAGGAAAUCGUUUUGACAUCCAUCUGACAGAUUUCAUAAUCAUGAAAUGCAACGAUGGCUAACAUAACCCUAAUAGACUUGAUCUUGCCCACUGGUGAGAAGGACUCAUCAUAGUCAACCCCCAGGGUUUGAGUAAAGCCCUUCGCAACCAGUCGUGCCUUGAACGUAUGCACCUUUCCAUCCAUGUCGAUCUUCUUCUUGAAGAUCCAUUUACACCCAACUGUCUUUCGACCUAGUACAUUGUCAACCAAGUUCCAAACUUGAUUGUCAUACAUGGACUGGAUCUCAUUGUCCAUUGCCUCUUUCCACUUGGAAGACUCUGGGCCCACCAUGGCUUCUUUGUAGCUAGAAGGCUCAUCCAAAUUUACCAGUGUACUAUCACUGAUAAACGUAUCACCGUUCGUAGUAAUAUGAAAACCAUAAAACUCUGGUGCCAUUCUAACUCAAGUGUAAUGUCUAAGAGGUAAUGACUCGUCAAUGGGGUCAACAGGAACCUCUUCCUCACGUUGAGCACUAGUGUUAGAGGUUCCUUCACCGCUUGAUUCUUGAUUCUUUUCAAGAUCAAUUGUCCUCACACUGUCCUCUUGGCAUAUGAGUUCCCUCUCAUGGAAAACUCCUCUCCUUGCUACAAAGACCACAUUAUCACUAGGUCUGUAGAAAAGAUAUCCAAAGGCGUUAUGUGGGUAGCCGAUGAAAAUGCACUGCUCACUUCGAUGUUCAAGCUUGUCGUGAGUCUCUCUUCUUACGAAAGCGUUGCAACCCCAAACCUUGAUAUGUGCCAACGAGGGAACCUUCCCUAUCCACAUCUCGUGAGGUGUUUUGGCAACCUUCUUUGUUGGGACUAGAUUAAGAAUAUGGGCGGCAAUCUCUAAGGCAUACCCACAUAAUGAGAUUGGUAGCGAAUAUCGACUCAUCAUGGAACGAACCAUGUCCAACAAGGUUCGAUUGUGCCUGCCAGCCACACCAUUAAGUUGCGGCAUCUUAGGAGGUGUCAAUUGUGAAACAAUUCCACAUUCCUUAAGAUAGUCGUGGAACUCGAUACUAAGAUACUCACCACCUCUAUCAGAUAUGAGCAUAUUUAUCUUCCUGCCUAAUUGAUUCUCCACUUCUAGCUUAUACUCUUUGAACUUUUCAAAAGUUUCUGACUUACACUUGAUUAAGUAGAUAUAUCCAUAUCCAUUAUAAUCAUCAGUAAAAGUCAUAUAGAAAUGGUUUACAUCCCUUGUGGUGGAUCUGAAGGGCCCACUCACAUAUGUGUGUAUGAGAUCCCACAAUCCCUCACCUCUUUCACAAGUACCAGUGAAAGGUGAUUUAGUCAUCUUUCCAAGUAAACAAGAUUCGUAUGUGUCAUCUGACUUUAGGUCAAUAGACUCCAACACUCCAUCCUUUUGUAGUUGGGCUAUGCGCUUCUUGUUGACAUGUCAAAGACGAAAAUGCUACAAUCAUGCCUUUUCUAUACCAUUAGACGAAUCAAUAUGCAACACAUUAUUUCCUAAGUUGUCUACAACCAUCACCGUUUCAUAUACACCAUUACAAGGAAAUUCUUCAAAAUAAAAAAGCACCAUUAUAAUAAACAUUUAUAAAACCACUUUUAGUAUUGAAUGAAUAUCUAAACCAUUGUCUGUACAAACCGUGAAAAGUAAUAAUAUUCCUUGUCAUUUCUGACGAGUAGCAACAAUCAUUCAAAUCUAACCCUAACCCACUACUAAGCACUAAAGAGUAAACUCUGAUCUUGGUAACAGGAGACGACUUCCUAUUGCCCAUUAACAAGUUCAUCUUCCCAUGCUCCACAUCUCUACUUCUUCUUAGCCCCUGCAAAUCAGAACAAAUGUGAAAACCACAUCUUGUAUCAAGGACCCAAAAACUAGCAUGUGAUGAGUUAUUAGAUAGAAUAGCGUAAAUACCUAUGAAGGUGGGCUUUAUCUUCUCAUCUUUGAUGUUCUACAAGUAUUUCGUGCAACUUCUAUUCCAAUGCCCCUUAACAUGGAAGUAGAAGCACAUUGCUUCUUUAAGAUCGAAGUAGGGAGGGGCAUAUGCGGUUUUAGCUUUAGAUCCACUAGAAGAAGAUCCAUCAUGAGACUUUCCCUUCCAGUUCUUCGAGGGAGCUUUCCUCUUUUUCCCUUUUCCAUGUCCAAUAGCCAGGACUGAAGCAGCAGUAGGAGUAGGAGUGGAUUCGACAUUUUUCCAUUUAUCCACUUUCAGCAGUUCUUAGCAGGCCUUGAAGCUUGCUCAAUGUGACUUCCUCAUUUCUCAUAUGAUAAGUCAUUUUGAACUGAUCAUAGAAACGAGGCAAAGAGUGUAAGACUAUAUCUAUAGCUUGCUCUUCGUCAAUGUUGACAUUCAACUUGAGCAAACGAUCCACAUACCUCUGCAUUCUUUGCAGGUGGGUCGUGAUGGACUCUCCAUCCCUCAUCUUGGUGGCGAUGAACGAGGUGACUAUCUCAUACCUCUCUUGACAUGCUCUUUGAUGGUACUUUUCCAUCAUGUCCUUGAACAUCUCGUAAGGCCAAUAGUGUUCUUAGAACCUUUGCAGUUCAGGAGCCAUGGUGGCUACCAUAACACAUGACACCUUAGUAGUAUCCUUGUAGUGAGCCCCAUACUCAGCAAUUUCUUUGGGAGUAGCUUUGGACUCAUCAAUCUCGUUCAAUGGUUUGUCAAGGACAUAUUCUUUGUCCUCAUAGAAGGCCAUUCGAAUGUUCUGGAUCCAAUCAUUGAAAUUGGAACCAUCAAACGUGAUCCUUGCACAAAAGUUCAAGAGCGAGAAGGAGUUGUUGGAGGGACCGAAAGUGUUGUUUGAGGUAGACAUCUGCAAAAGAAGAAGGACAAAGUUAUGAUCAGUAAUCCUUAAUAUAACACCCAAAAUGAAAUAUUAAGGCUAGGACCCAACACAAUAAUUCACAAUUCGGAAAAGGGAUGUCAUAAUCCAAUUGUAAAUUAUUUGAAUGUAGGUAAAUGAUGAUUUAUCAAUUUCACCACAAAAAACGAAAUUAAAAGAAUUAGGUUUUAAAUGAAAUGAAACUCCUACAUUCUUUUAGAUUCAUUGAACUAUUCAAUGCCAUGUUUAAUCUCAACUACGCUCUUCAAGUUUGUGACUAGGAUACCAUGGAUCACACACGCUCCUCUAACAACUUGACAAAGUGCAAUGUGCAAUUUCAUCGAUUAGCAUCAAAUUCACAUUUUCCUAAAGUAACUAAGAUUGAGAAUUUAUAAAACCAUUUAGUUACUUUAUAUUUAUCAUUAUACUUAUUAAUGAGAGAAUUAAUGUCCUAUCCUACCCGUUCGGUUAACGAACCUCCACCAAUCAAGGAAGCGAUGGGUGAGAGUGGUCACCCAUUUAACCGCUAUUUUAUAGGCAAUUUCCUUAUACCCCCUUAUAGAUUAGCUUUGUGAAUGAGGCCUACUAACGUUAAGACUGACUUAUCUUUUAUAUAUAUAUAUAUAUAUAUAUAUAUAUAUAUAUACACACACACACACACAUACACACACAUACACACACACACACACACACANNNNNNNNAUCUUAUACAUAUAUAUAUAUAUUAAUCCUUUAAUAUUAUAAUAGUAUAAGGGUUGUAUUUUAAACUUUUAAAAUUCUAGGGUUUUAAAAUUUAAUAUUUCAAAAAUAAACUUUUUAAUUAAUUUUAAAUUCCAAAACUUGAAGGGUGCAAUUUGAAACUUUUCAAAAUUACUAGAUCAAAUUUUAAAUAAUUAAUUAAUCACAUAAUUUGUCACUAUCUUAAAAUUUGACCAAAUCCAUCUAUUUUGAUAAGAAAAUCAGAUUAUCAUUCAGCAAAUUCAAUUUAUGGUGAUAAAAACGAAUUAUGGUAAUUAUCCUAACCCAAAAUAGAUCAAAAGUUCGAUAAACCAGCUAACAGACGAAUCAACUCGUCGAGUUAAGGAAUGGACUCGUCGAGUUCAUCAUUGAACUCAUCGAGUUUGUCAAGCAGAAAACGAUUUAUGCUUUGCAUUCAAUUUGGACAGUUCAUUAUUGCAUCAAAUAUAAUAGAAAAACAUCUUAGGCUCUGAUACCACUGAUGGGUUUUGAGCAUAACAUUUAUAUGUGUUCAUGCAACCGUAAUUGCUUUGGAUCUAAGUUUUUCUCUAGUUAUACAUGCAAAUAGAAGUUCCAAAGUAAUAACCCUAAUACUAGCAUACAAUUGUUCGAAAUCAAUAAGAAAACUAGGGUUAGAAUGUUACCUUGCUUGCUAUUUCGUAAUAACAAGUAUUCCACAGAUGAUCUUGACUCCUGAAAGCUUUAGUGCCUCACGUGUUGCACCUCUAAUGGAAUCACAAACACCAAAAUCAAAGUAUGAGUGAGAGAGGGGCAGAAAAUCGGCUAGGGUUUCUCCUUGGGAAGCAGUUGCCGAUUUUAGGAGGUCUAGGGACCUUUAUAUAACUGUGGUUACUAGGGUUUUCAGGGAAAACCCUAGUUCCUUGCUUAGGCUCCAAGCAGCCAAUGGACAUCCCUUCUGGAAGGCCUUGGACGAUUGCUAUAGGGUCUCCCUAUAGAAAUUCGUCCACCCCAUUCCAAGGGAGUCCACCAGCCUAGUUUGCAACUAUCAAUGAUUUGCAAAACCAGUCCCCUUACUUUUAAUCAGUUCAUUUAUCCCAAAAUUAAUACCAAAUUAAUUUCUAAUUAAAUACUAAUUAAAUAAUAUAAUUUCUAAUUAAUAUAUUAUUCUUAUAAUAUAUUAAUAAAUCAUUAAAUAACCUCUCUCUCUCUCUCUAAAAGUCAUCUUGUCAGGUUGCUAUGGUGAAGGCAACCCAAAAGGACUAUGCUACUAUCAGAUCAAGUACAUACAAAUUAUAGUUAUGGGCUUAGACACUUAAUCCUACAGUUUCAUGUUGGUUAAACCUAAUUUGAGAAGUAAAAAAGAAAAUUCAAAUUAUGAAAAUUUUGAACAUAAUUGAAAGAUUUUUAAAAUUUCUUAUUUAUACCAUUCGAUACAUUUGAUUUAAUUAACAAUCCCAAAUACAUAAAUACUCCUUAAAUCAAUCAAGUACACUCUUCUUAUUUUUAAAUCUUAGUUCCUUAAUGCAAUCGAUGCCUAAGCGCGCACUCCUUAUUUUGAACUCUGAUUUUGUUUCGAUGAGCAAGACGACGGAAGAACAAUGUCAACAAAAACCAUCAACAAACAUUUUUUGUUUAUCUACAGAUGCCAUGAAAAAGACAUUAAAUGACAAUUCUUGUUCAUAUCUAAAUACCAAAAAUGGUUGGCUCAAUACUUAUAACAAUUAGUUAAAUAAUAUUGAAACUGUGUUUCGUUAAUUAAAAGAAUAAUAUGAUCAUCUAAUGUGUAUAUAAAAUAUUCUACCAAAAACAUGCUAACCUUUUAUUAAAUAAUUAAUUAUAUGCGUCCAAUAUUCUAUGUGUAUUGUUUAUAUAAAACUAUUUGUAUAAGGGUCAUAUAAAUUAUGAUUACUUAAGUGAGUAUUGGUAAGAGUAAUUGAAAUAUAUAUAUAUAUAUAUAUAAUAUACAAGAAUCAGUUUACAGAAAACAUACUUNAAAUAAGCCAUGACAUUAUGAACAAAAACAUACAUUAUGUUGAUCUGACAUCAAUGUCUGACCAAACCCACCUUCAAGAUGCAUAUCUUCUUGAAAGUUUUCUAAGAACCAUUUCUAGUUGUCUUUAUUUUCAACACAAACUACAACCCAAUCUAUUGGGUAUAUAUGAUUGUUACCAUCCCUACCAACAACACAUAAUAAUUGAAUAGUACACAUUCCUUUUAGAAAAUACCCAUCUAAGUUUAUUAUCCCUCUACAACCACUUUUCUAACCCUCCUUUAGUGCAUGAAAACACACACACACACAUAUAUAUAUAUAUAUAUAUAUAUAUAUAUACUGAUAUUGAUGUGAUAAAAAAAAUUAUUAAUUGAUUUGAAGUUUAUUUUAAUAUUCAAACUUUUCGAAUUCCAAUUAAAGUUAGAAAUAAACCAUUAUAACUAAAAAGUCUUUUUCAUUCAUUACACUUAAUUGAUACUUUUGAGACUUAAUUAAAUAAGAUUAAAAUAUUUAAAUAGUAUUUUGUAAAUUAAAUGACUAAAAUAAUCAUAUCAUGUCUAGACCAAAUAUUAUAAGAAAAACCUUCAAACUAAUUAUUAGAAACUAAAUUAUAUGCAUCUAUUGUUUUGUGUUAAUGACAUUAUAUAUGUGCAUUAAAUUACAACAACACAAUUAUUGAAAAACAAAGAAAUAAUGUUUUUCUUUCCAGAGAAUGAAAUUCAAAUGAUGAUAACCAAUUUUCAUAUAAGUGUCUAAAUCUGAUUCAGUUAAUGUGCCCCAAAAUAAUAAUUGUUCUUUGUAUUGUAUUUAGUUAUAAUAUCUAUUAGGGGAAAAAGAGUUAAAUCAAGUCUCAAUAAGUGAUAUUACCCUCAACAUGAAUUUACACACAAUGCAUCGUAACCAUUUACACACAAAUGAAUAAAUACAUAGAAGAAAUUAAAUGCAAAAGGAUUACCUUUACGAGAUUAUACCUUUUUGGUUGUUGGUCACAACAUGUUCACUAAAUCCAUUCACAACUUAAUUAACGGAUAACCUUACAAAUCCACAAUUUUAAAAAUAUCUUCGAUAUACACAAACUUUUCAAACUACAAUUCUUAAAAAGAUAUGAAUGAUUUAUGAGUAUUUUCAUAAGCACGUUUUGGGAUGGGAAGAAGUGUAAUAUUUUUUAAGUUGAUUGAAGAUUCAUGUCUUUGGAUAGAUGAGAAAAAUCAAAAAAUUUGUUGAUAUCAUUUUUUUCUCUCAAAAACACACUUCGAACACAUUAAUAUUCAUAGUUUCUUCUUGUACUUAGUUCAUCAAUGUGAAUGGAACUUAUAAAAACAUAAUUCUUGUUUAAACACACUUCAAAAAGAUAAAAAAUUCUCAAUACUUUUUUUAUAUUUAAUGUUAUGUUCUUGAGUUUAAAUUUUAAAGAGUUNNNNNNNNNNNNNNNNNNNNGGGGGAAGAAAGGGAAGAAGAUAGAUGGAGAAAGAGGAGGGGAUGGAUGCGUUCUCGAUUUCAAGGGGAAGGAAAGAAAGUUUACUGUCAAAUGACGCUUUUAUCACCGUUUAGGGUUCACCAGCUUUAAUGCUUUUUCGAGGAAGAAGGGGAAAGGAUGAGGGUAAAAUCAAUCAUUUUUUCUUUUCCUUCUUAAUCCGCCCAAAUUUGAGUGGAAAGAGAGCUUACCUUAUUUCUUAUUCCCUCCCCCUCACAAUCCUUUCCUCCAUUUCCUUUCUCUCCUUAAAAAAAAUCAAGAACACCUUUCUCCCUCUCAAUCAUCUCCUUUCCUUCCUUUCUCUCCUAAAAAAACUCAAGAACAUAGUGUAAAUGUACAACAUUCAACUACAAAUUUAUUUUUGUUUUUAUCUUAUUUUUUCUUUCAUAAACACACAUUUUGAACACAUAAUACAUCAAAAUCCACAACAUUUUUUGGCUCUAAAUGUACAACUUUGACAUGAUUCUUCAUCGUCUCUAAAGUCUAAACACAUAACACAUCAAAAUUGACAACAUUUUUGGUUUGACUUUAAAUAUAAAACCUUGACACAAUUCUUCAUCAUCUCUAAAUAUCAAAAAUUGUUCCAUUGGCAGGUAGACAAUAAACUUUGCAUGGAAUUUAAACAGAAUAGAAGAAAAAAUAUAUUGAAAGAAGAAACCAAACCUAUUUGAAACUUCUCCAUGCUCAUGUACUCUAGAUAACCAAAAUAUAUAAGGAAAAAAGUUGUGGAAAAAAGAAAACAACUCUAUUUGAAACUUCUUCAUGCUCACGCACUAUAGAUAACGAAAAUGAAAUGAAAAGAUAAAGCAAAAUGAAAAGAGGAGAAAAUGACAUAUUUUGAACCAUAAUCAUUUGAAUGACCUCCUUUAUAAGAUAUAUAAUAUAUAUAUAUAUNNNNNNNNNNNNNNNNNNNNNNNNNNNNNNNNNNNNNNNNNNNNNNNNNNNNNNNNNNNNNNNNNNNNNNNNNNNNNNNNNNNNNNNNNNNNNNNNNNNNNNNNNNNNNNNNNNNNNNNNNNNNNNNNNNNNNNNNNNNNNNNNNNNNNNNNNNNNNNNNNNNNNNNNNNNNNNNNNNNNNNNNNNNNNNNNNNNNNNNNNNNNNNNNNNNNNNNNNNNNNNNNNNNNNNNNNNNNNNNNNNNNNNNNNNNNNNNNNNNNNNNNNNNNNNNNNNNNNNNNNNNNNNNNNNNNNNNGUCCGACUCCGCUGCAGAUUCAAAAAAUGAUGAGGACUGCGAGGUCAAUUUUCCACCAUCCAUUUGACACAAAUGUCAAACCCAAUACUUGGACAUGGUGCAUUCACAUGCAACCCACAUCCAUGAUAAUUAAUACGGACUCGAUGAUUUAAUCACGUACGACGAAAGUCCAUGAAACGUUAUUUAAGUGGGUUUUUACUAUUUAUUUUUGUUUUUUAUUUAAAAAAAAUCAAAAAACAAAAGUUAAACAUAUAUAUACUCAUUUUUCAGGUUUUUAUUUUUUUAUUUUUUCGGUUUUUUAUAAAUUUCAUUUGUUAUAUAUAUAUANNNNNNNNNNNNNNNNNNNNNNUUUCUUUUCUUUUAUUUUCUUUUUCUUUUUUUAAUGUCUCUACUACAUACUUGAAGAUACUAGUGUUUUUGUUUAUUUUUGUUUUUGUUUUUUGAUUUUUGAUUUUUUUUUAUUUUUUAAACUAAAUAUCGGUUCAAGUUUUUAAUGUUUAACAAUUAUAACAUUUUAAAUAUGAAAAAUCUAAAGGAUCAUAAUAUUUUCUGUUAAUAAUAUUUUUAAAUCAUAUUAUUUUUGGAUCAUAAAAUUUUGAAUAAAAUUAUUUUGAAUUAUAGUAUUUUGAAUCAAAUCAUUUUUUAAUCAUAUGAUUUAGAUCAAUAAUCUAUUCAAUUAAACAAAGUUUUUGGGCAAAAAAAUUGUGGAUCACUAUAUAUUUUGAAUCAUUUAAUUUUGAAUCAUAAAAGAUAUAAUUAAAAAUUAUAAAAUAUUUGAAUCUAAAUAUUUUUAGAUCAUAACAAAUUAAGGAUCAUAAACAAGUUGAAUCUAAAGUUUUUUUUGAAUCAUAAAUAUUUUGAAUCAUCACAUUUUGAAUGUUAAAAAAAAUUAAAAUUAAAAUUUCUUAAAAUUACAAAUAAACACUUAAUAAAACUUAUUUUUGAAAAAUUAUUUUUACCAAGUCACUAGUAUAUUGAGUAGAAGUAUCCCUUAAAUAUAAUGUCUUGAGUUUCAAGGCAAUUUUUUCAUUUUUGUUUAUUCAAAAUAUAAGUCUUACACACGUUAUAUUACAUAUUUAAUUAUUAAAGAGAGUUUUAGCAGAAGUCUAAAAAUAUUUCAUUAAUGUCUUCCAUGCAGGUACCAUCAUGCGUGAACCUUUCCUCGAUCCAAAAAGCAACCUGAAAAGCAAUGAUUCAAUAAAUGUAAGCCGACGCUUAGUAAAUUCCCUCAAAAUAUCAUAUACCACAAUGCAUAUACAAUACAUACGCAUAAUGGCCUUCAACUUAUAGUUGGUCCGCACUUUGGCCUUCAGCGUAAUGUUGGUUCACUCGAGCAUACUGGCCUUUAACGUAAAACUCAUUCACCCUCAACUUCCACACACACACGCACACACACACACACACACACACACACAUAUAUAUAUAUAUAUAUAUAUAACCACUCAUCUAAUAGGCAAACAAUUCAACAUGAUAGACAACUAAGUUAGUCUAGUGGUCUGACUUCAUACUAUAGGGUAACUAUAUCCUAACAUAAAAACGAUACAUAUUGGAGUAUACAAUAUAGUGAGGAGAACUCACAUGGACAGCUUCUCAUAGGUUUAACAGUUAACCAGACAAUUCAACUGCCAUGCAACACGCCAAUGGGGAUUUACCUAUAAUAUUAUGGUUUAUUAGUUCAUAUGAGAAUCUGGUAAUGAAAGGCUAGAUCUUUCACUAAUCCCAACGAAUACUAAUAGUUCUAUCAAAUAAGGAUCGGCAGGUUGGAUAGUUGGAAGGCAUGACUAUUUUAGCGUAUAAUUGUAACACCCCAAAAAUGUGAAGGUAAAAGUUUCAUUUUUAAAACAACCAAAACAUUAAUUUAUUAUUUACUAAAACAUUUAAAGGUUUUUCAACCAAAACAUUAAUUUAUUAUUUACUAAAACACUUAAAGGUUUUUCAUAUUAAAAUAUUUAUCAAAGUGCAAUCCCAAAAUCUCGAGUGGCGGAAAAUAUGGGUGUAUGCGCUGCGAUCAAGCGAUGCCCUUCCCUUUCGAACCAGAAGUACCUGAAACCGUAAACAACAACUUUAAGCACAAAUCUUAGUGAGUUUCCCCAAAUACCACACACCAUACAUAACAUACGUGUCAUACAUAUCAAACAUGCAAUAAGAGGUGUUAUGUGCCAACCAUAGUCUUGCCAUUAUGCCACGAGCCGUAUCAUGGUCUUUCCUUGAGAGGCCGGGGACCAAAAGCCUGGAUCUUACAGACAAGUGCAAAGAGCCACCUCUUAGUCUUCCAUGCAAGUAUCAACAAGACAACUAGCAUACAAUCUACCACUACUUAUCUACUUAACUGACAGAGUCCAAACUCUAGUCUUGCAUACAAAUUUCCAGGAGCCACCUCUUGGUCUUUUAUAUAAAUGCCAAGGGCCGCCCCUGGUCUUCCUAUAAUACAUAAACCAAUAGGGUCGACAGUGGCACCUUCGACCCAUAGAAUAGUACGGAGACUCACCUCAAACCAAGAUAACCGAACACUCGAACUGCUGCUACUGGAAACCUCGCACUGAUAUCAACAAAUAAUAUUCCAUCAACGAUUGAUUUCGAUUCAAUCGAGAAUUCUAGCCAAAUGACUAACCUUUCAGGGUAAAAGUCCAUUUUUAUCCUUUUUCUUACUUGCCAAAAUCCAAAGAUCAAUCCACUAGCAUCAUAAGCCCAAAUCCCUUAAAUAGCACCACCAGGCCCAAAAUAUCCCAUGGUCAAACUUUUGGUUAAAGUCAAAGUCAACACUCCAUGUUGACCAAACAUGCUGUGUUACCCCUUGGCCACGCCGUGUUCCAACAACAUCCAAGCAGUCGGGAAAACCCCAACCAACACGUCGUGUUGAUUUAAAAACAUGUCGUGUUUGCCGAAGUUCUAACAACUUAAUACAUUAAGUCGUUUUCUUCGAUUCCAAGAGCUCCAAAGCUCAUAUCUAGUCCAUAAUGUGGUCCAUAAGGAUAAAGUUUCCAACUUUAUUCAUUGGGACUAUCCAAAAGGUUUAAAACUCAAUCCAUGAAGUUUAUUAAUGUAAGUGCUUAACCAACAAGCACUUAACCCUUAAAGGCCGAAGUCCAUCCUUUCCAUAAGUGAUUUAAACACCAAAACCAUACCAAAGGUUGGUUCUUUAUAUACAUACAUGUCCAAUGCAUGUCUUUAAUCCAUAUUAGGUCAAAAUGGGGAUUUAUGAUCUAGUCUCUAUGCAUGACAUCAAAACUUGAUUAUAAUCUAGAUCCAAAACACUACAAGGUCACCUUGACCUGGAGAUUCAUAAAGUUGCAAACUUUAUGAGAUCUAACCAUUCCAUUAUUCAAGAACAAGAAGUUAAAGGGAAAAAAACUCAAGAUCUAACAACUUGGAAUGAUAAAAAUCAAGUCUUGGACACUUAUAAAGGUCCAGAAAAGUGCCAAGGUAGAGAAUGGGGACUUGCUUGCUUGAUCUUUUCUUCCUUCCUCCUCCUUCUCCCUUCUUGAGCUUCAAAAAGCACCAAACUAGCUCUAAAAUGGAGGAAGAUUAUUAAGGUUUCUUUCAACGCUUGAGGGGGCUGAGGAUGAACAAACCCUAGCCUCCUUAUUCCUUUAAAUAGGGUGUGAAGCCCAAAAGAUUAGGGUUUUCAUUCCAGCAGUCAACACGACGUGUUCCAAGAGGCAACACGUCGUGUUGACCUUUGUGAAAGUUGCACAUCUUCUUAUCUAGACACGCCGUGUUGGUUCCUCCAAUCCUCAAAAGGUGAUUGAUUCCCAAAAAUUGUUCCUCGAGAUUUCGGGUGUUACAAUAACCUUUAUGAAAUCCAACAACCAAGCCAACAUGACCAUUCUAGACAUCUCUCCCAUAAGUAGAUUAAUUAGUAUUAUAACUAGAAUUACUGAUAAAUNNNNNNNNNNAUAUAUAUAUAUAUAUAUAAACACAUUCAUAACAAUGAUUCUUAAUAUAAAUACAUGUUACACUUAAAACGUAGUAAGUGUAGCCUAACUUAAAAAGAGUUUCUAGAAAAAACCGGUUUUGUGAUGGCAACACUUUGAUACCAAGCACUUCUGUUAGCCGAGCCUAGAUACCCAGAGCUGUGUUAAAUCAAAAUUCUUCAAAACCCCGAGAAUACUUAGAAAAAUCAAAGCUAGAGAGAGACAGAGAGAGAGAGAGAUAGAGAUAUGAAAACUUUGAGUUAGAAACAAAUGAAACCUAACACCCUUAUUUAUAGUCAAAAGGUGCACUGCACGAUCGGUGUUCGUAGUUGGAUGGAGGCACGUGUCAGGUGUCAGGUGUAGAAUCUUCCACGUCCCAAGCUUCUAGAAUAACUGUGCGUCGCGCCUAUCUCCCACAUGCGUGCAUUUUUCCGUUUUGAAAAUUGCAUAACUUCUUCGUUCAGGCUACGUCUCGAUGUUCUUUAUAUCCAUGCGUAGCUAUUGCUAAGAUAUACUAUUUAGACUCCGUCGACAAAUUUUCACUUUAUUUUUAAGGCUAUAUUUUUAACAGGCUUAGACUCUUAAAGCCCAUAUUAAAAUCAUAACUCUCUCAUACGACAUCUAUUCUUGGUUGUCUUUAUUUUGACAGAAUUCUGUUAACGAUAUCUUCAAAUCUCGUUUAGAUUGUUUUUCCAAACAAUCAACCGAUCUUGAUUUCGGUUUCUAUGUCGCACACUACUGUGUUGAAACUUGGAAAAAUCAUUACUUCCUCAUACGCAGUCAUAUUUUGACGUUCUCUAUAUGUAUGUUCUCAUUUUUACGAAUACUACGACUUUCAUUUAAAUUUCAUAGGCUAAUAAGAAACCUAUAUGAAAUUCCUUUUUUACGAUACGUAGAGCUGUGUCGGUUAAUCACGAAACUUCGAAGGAGCAUAACAUUUUCUUACAAUGUCGGAUUUAAGCGUUCUAUAUAUCUACGAAAAUCUAUUGACAUUUUAUGCAUGUUUAUGAUGAUUAUUUUGGCUCAAAAGUAAUAUAUUUAUACUUCGUAUUUCAUAAUAAUUUAUUAAAAUUAUAAUCUACGAAAGUAGUAAAAAUGGGGUGUUACAACUCUCCCCCAUUUACAAGGAUUGUGUCCUCGAAAUCUAACUAAAUAAUUCUGGAUAGUUGCUCCUAAUAUCUUCUUCUGGUUUCGAAGUCCAUUUUGAUCCUUUUUGGUGUUGUCACUGCACUUUCACUAGACUGAUCUCCUUGUUGCAUAAGGUUUUUGUCUUCUUAUCUAGGAUCGCCACUAGUUUCUCCACGUAUUUCACAUGUUCAUCAAUGUGAAUAUCCUCCACAAGUACAAUUGUAGAUUCAUACGUAAUGCAUUUCCUUAAUUGGGAGACGUGGAAGGUGUUGUGGAUCUGACUAAGUUCUUCUGGUAGAUCCAAACAAUAGACAACCUUGCCUACCCGAUCAAUAACUCAAAAGGGUCCGAUAUGCCUUAUGGGUUUUCUAGGUUAUAAAAUAUUUCACAUGGUGGAAAAACACUUAAACCCUUAAGUUCACAUGAAACCUAGAUGGAUAUAUGUUUUCUCUAUUGAUAGUUAUAACCUAUGAACAUCACGAAAUCCUAGAGAGAGGCUAUGAAAAUCAAAAUUAACAUAAAGAUUAGGAUUACAUACCUUUUGAUUAUUAUAGCAAAUAAUCAAAUCAAAUCCUCUUGAAGUUCUUGGAAAGAAAACACCAAAAGGAUGAUGCCUCUAAUGGCUUACACCUAAAACUAGAAACCCUAGAAUGAGGAGGAGUGAGGAGAUAUGAGAUAAAUUUUGUUCCUAUGCUUAUUGGUAAUGCCAUGAACGAAAUAUACAAACCAAUGGGUCCUAUUUAUAUUUUAGAUAACUUGCAGGAAAAUCAUGAUUUAAAUUGAUUAAAUAGUAUAUUUAAUCCUAAUUCAAAUCCUUUCCUUUUAUGCAACCAGGAGGCUUCCAGAUUAAUUCUGAUUAAUAAUUAAUCAAUUUUAAUUGAUUUCACAUUAAUUUAUUAAUCAUAUAAAUUAACAAAUCAAUUAUUUAACAAUUGACCUCAUAUCAAGUUAUUAAUCACGUAAUAAAUCAACAAAUCCACUGUCUAUUUCCAAUUAAUAUAUUAAUCACAUAAUAUAUUAAAAAAAAUCAUUUUUCCAUAAUUUCCAAUUACUUUAUUAAUCAUAUAAUAAUCUAAUAAAUUAUAUUUCUCUAUUCUAAUAUCAAUUCUAGCUAUUUCUGUUCAUGAGGGCAACCAAAAAAGGACUUUGCUUCUAACUACAAGAAUAUACCAAUUUAAUUAGUGGCUUAGACACUUUAAUCCAUGAAUCUCCCACUGGGAUAAGCCUGUAGCUACAAUUGCAAGUAUAGACCUUGAACUAAAUAGGAAAGAGUGCUUUCCCUAGCCACUAACAAACUCUAAUUCAAAUCAAACGUUGGUCGUAAGAUAAAUGAUCAGCUAUUCCUUCGUUCUAUAAAAUAUUCUAUGAACAGAUUCAUAGAUUAAAUGUUCAAUCUCAUGUUCAUUUAUUUGUUUCCCGAUUUCCCGAUUUGUGAUCAAUUUACACUACAAAAUCGAACGUACAAAUUUAGUCCUGACCAGGCGCCUCGUUUUCAUAGAUCAACUCAAAUUAUUGAGGGGCUCACAGAUAUCGCUUUUCCUUAUUCAGGUAAAAGGAACAAAUUACAUUGGCUAUAUAGUCAUACAAUUUACAUAUCAAAUCAUGCAUGGAAUAACCCUUUAUAACAUCCAGUUACAAGAUGCGUUUGAGCAAACCAAUGUAUAACUGAUCUGUAAACUAUGAAGUAUAUAUCUCUGCUUUGAGAAUAGAUGAUAUUAUCAUCUUAGAAUUAUUUGUGAUUGAAUCCAUGAAGUAAUCUUUAAGCAUAGGUUUAUCCAAUAAUUAAAAUCUCAAUUUUUAAAGUAAUCAUGAAUAUUGUAGCAAUCCCAAUUGCAAUGUCUUAACCUAUCGAUUCAUGACAGUCUUAAUUCACUACUUAUUUCCAAAAGUAUGAACAACUGUGGAAUUUUGAAUAAUAUUAAAAUUAUUGAAGGAAGUAAAACAUGCAAAGCGAAACAAAAAAAAUAAAUCAAUUAACUAUGACAUCAUACCUAUUGAUCAUAAAUAAAUCCUUAUUAUUUAAUCACCAUAAAAAUUAUGAAUUUAUUAAUUGGAUGAUGUUUUAAGUAAUCAACUAACCACUUGAAUUAGAUAACAUCAGUCAUGCCAUAUUGUGAACAUGCAUACUAUGCCUCUCGAUGGUCCUUCCUUUAUGAAUAGAUUGACUGGACAUUACUCCAAUGAUGCUCAUUUCAUAAUUCCAAAUUCUUGUCCUUAAGCAAAAACAGCAAGAAAUCCCGAAGAUUACUCCAUCUGACGAGUUGACUUGUCGAGUCAAGCAUGGACUCGUCGAGUCAGCAUGGACUCGGCGAGUCCAGCCUCCAGAACACCAAAAAUCGAAUUUUUUAAUCAUACAAUGCAUCAAUACAAUAGAAACCAGUCUAGGCUCUGAUACCACUGUUGGGUUUUGGUCCUAAGAACAUCCUAUGUGCUCAUACAAACCCUAAUGCUUGGAUCUAGGUUUCUCUAUUGUACAUGCAAGUUAUCCAAGACUAUAAACCCUAAUUCUAGCAUUCAAGUAAUCAUAUUAACAUGAGAAUAGGUUUAAGAUGUUACCUUGAUUGUUAUGUAGCAAUAACAAUCCCAAAUCUCCUUGUAUUGACUUUAGAAAGCUUAGAGUCACAAUUGUCACUCCUCUAAUGGUUCACAAACACCAUAAGCAAGAGGAUGAAGAGGAGAGAGGAUGGAGGCUGCCCAAAAACGUGUUAUAACCCUAGAAUAAGUCUUAGCCACGUUUUUGGGUCAUAAGGGGGUCUUUAUAUAGUGAGGCCAUUAGGGUUAUCUAACAAGGAAACCCUAAUUUGGAUGCUUAAGCCCUAAGCAACCCAUAGACUCCUUUAAUUAAGGCCUUGGACGAUUUCCUUAUGGGCUUCCCCAUAGAAUUCGUCCACUCCUUAAUUUAAGACAAUCCAUAGCCCAAAUUGCAAUUAUCUUAUAAUUACAAUUCCAGUCCCUUAAGUUUAAUUAAUCUCUUUUAGUCACAAAACUAAUUACCAAUUAAUUAUUGACUAAUAUUAAUUAAACAAUAUGAUUUCUCCUUUAAUAUAUUAUUCUCAUAAUAUAUUAAUAAAUCAUAUUUAAUCCUUUCUCUCCAUAAUUCAUCCUAUCAAGUUGCUUUGGUGAAGGCAACCCAAAAGGACCAUGCACCAUCGGGUCAAGUACANUUCCAUGCUAGUAUUGUGUUUGAUGAUUUUAUGAGGACCCAAAUGUUUAUUUGAGCCUAUAUACGUUCUAGUGCAUUUGUGGCCCCCUUUAUUCUAGUGAAAUCAUGGGACAAAAACACAACCUUGCUUAGUUUGAGGAUCGCAAUAUGUUUAGCAUCAUGUACCAGAAAUGUAUCCAGGAAAGCUUAAGUAGUCAUUGCACACUAGACUAAUGCCUUUAACCAAUAAAGGAUGAAGUUAAAUUCCCUUGCUUAAGGAUAUGUUUUUCUAGGUUUUAGUUUUGAAUGGAAAAAGUGUGUUGAAAAAAAAAAGAAAAAAAAGAGAAAAGAAAAAAAGAAAAAAAAAGUUGAAAAAAAAGAGUGAUGAAAUAUUUGAAUAAAAAAUCUACAAAGCUAUGAAGACAAAGAAGAAUAUCAUGAAGAAAGCUACAAAGUAUAAAAGAUUCAAUCAAAAGUUGUAUUUGUAAUUUUCUUUUCUAGGUUAUUUUAUCGUAUGUAUGCUUGGGGAUUUAACCAAAAAUGACUUGAGGUUAAGAAAGUUUUCUGGGGAUGGAUUCGGAGGGAUGCAUAAAAUGAGCGUUGUUCAAAAGAAGUGGGCGAGUGUUUAUGAGGAUUGUAAGUAUUUAGAAUUGAGGGGGGUCCUUAGGAAAAAUUUUAGACACAAAUGCAUGCAUUGCGGUCUUGGCAUAAUGGCUAGGUUCGAUUGGGAUUGUCUUAUGUAAUAUUAGUGUACUAAAAUUCAGUUUUGCUUGGGGGCAAGCAAAAGUCAAGUGUGGGGUAUUUUGAUAUGGGCAUAUUUAGUUAUAAAAUUCAUGCAUUAUCUUAAUACUUUAUGUUGAUUUUAUCUCAUUUAAUGAACAAAAGGUACUUAAUUAGUUUAUAAUUUCAUUUUUCAGCAACAAUUACAUGCUCGGAUGGAAAAGGAAGCGGAAUUGGCGAUUGGACGCUUGGAUCUUGGAUUUUGAAGAAAGAAGGAUGUUGCUGGACAGCUUGACCCCUCGUCAGUGUUUUGGCCAUAUCUCAUGAACCGUAACUCCGAUUGACGAGAUUCAAAAUGUUCUGAAAACUAGACACAAUUUCGGACGACUUUCGUGUUUUGAGAAAAUGCUGAUUCCAAACGGACUCGACGAGUAGGCCAUCAACUCGACGAGUUGGUCAGAAGUUUCGCGAUUCUUGACUUUGCCUUGCCGUACACGGGAUUUUAAGUGAUGAACUCGGCGAGUAGGUCACUGGACUCGCCGAGUAGCCCCUGUUUUCAUAAAAUAUAUAUAGAAACGCUUCUCAUUCGAACCCUAACGAAUGGGGGAAGUUUAGGACGAUUUUUGGAGGCCAGAAGGGUUCUUAGAAGCUGUGGUUUUCGAGAUUUCAACCUAGAUAUCAACUUGGAAGAAGAUCAAAGGCAAUAACACACUACUUUUAUCUUAAUCUUUUGCAUAAACCAUGUUUCAAUCAUUAGAUUAUGUUUUUAGUUUGUUAUUUGCUGUAGAUACGAGCUAAAAACUCCUAACUUCUGUUUAGGAUAGAUGAUUUUGUGAUUAUGGUUUGAUUUAUGGUAAGAUUGAUUUAAUAUUGGUGAUUUUGUUGAUUCUAGCUUAUUAAAGAACCUUAUGUGUGAAUGAUAACUAUUUUUCUGUUAAUAGGAAGAUAAUUAAGCUGCAUGAACAUCUCUUAGUUGUUAACCUCAUAUGUUUAUGUGACCACUUUAUCAUAUGUCUAGGAUUAAUGAACAUGAAACUAGAAUUAAUAAGAAAAAUAGGUAAAUUCAUGUGUGAGCUUGUGUGAUGACCAUCAACAAGAGGUUAACUAAAGGACCAAAUUAGUUAACUAUUACAAGUCUAAAUUAACCCGAAUAAAUAACCUAGUGAAUUAAAUUAAAUUAGACAAUUGGCCACUGUUUGAGUUAGUUUGUUCUCUAAGGAUUAGUGCAACGAACGUGAAUCUAAUCACUUGAAUCAGUAACCAAUAGAAGAAUUAAUCCAUUGCACUAUUACCAUAAUAUCAACCAUAGGAUCAAUUGAGUUGAACUAAACAGAAGUUCCCUUCGUCAUUGAAUUUAGUUGAAUCGUUGCUUUUCUAGUUCUUAGUCUAAGUAAUAGUUAGUAAGUUUCUAGUCUUGUAAAACUAGAGAAAACCCAUUUUAUAUUACUUGUUUUAUUUAGAUAAUAUUAGCAUUUAUUUUAAUUGUUUAUCGUUCCCUGUGUUCGAUACUCUACUUACCUGAACUAAACUGCUAAUCGAUAGGUACACUGCCUUUCGUGUGUUUGUCUUUGUGUUUAAGUUAGUAGGAUUAAAACUAGUUGGUUUUACACACAUCAACAUGAUAAACAUAUCUCCUGAAAGUUUAAAAAAUUCCUUGAUGUUCCUCACAAUUCAAAAUAUAAAGAGGGAUGUUGUAUCAUAUUGUGAAUUUGAGAAUGCAAUUAAUACAACCGAUAUCCGUAUUGAUCUUUAGUAGAUCCUUAAAAUCUACUAGUGAAAGUAUUUUCUCUUAACCAUUAGAGUGAAACCCUUUUUUCACCUAGAUUCGAAGGUGCACACAUUCCCAUCCAUGUAGAACUCUCAUUUUCAACCUACAAUAAUAAGACAAGGUUUAAGACAAACCAAAAUCACAUUUAGUUCUCCAUCACGAACUGAACUUCACUUAAUCUAAAUUUCUUGCCUUGUGGCAGCCCAAAAGGCCCACCAGUGCUUCCAUGUUGUUAGUAGCUCACUCAUGUUGAUCAGUGUACUUUCACUGACCAACGUGCUUAGCCUUUUGUAGUUAAAUGAAGAACAAAGAACUCAUAGGCGUUGCCAAACUCAACUGGAAGUGCACAUAAAUUAGAAUGUGUCAAUCAACACAACAUGUUAACCUCAGGUCGUGUGCAAGUGAUAAAUAAAAGGAUCAUUUUCAGUUAACUCUUGAAACUAUCAAGAUAAGUACGACUCUCACUGACUUCUUGACAUACACGUUUUCUCUCAAGAAAAAUUCAUUGAUGAGCUAAAACCAAUAUUCAAAAGUUCGUGCGGAUUUCCAACAAGAAAAUGCUCCAUAGAAUAGAAAACAGUUUAUCUUUUGUUUCUUGAUCAACAAAAACAUCAAAACUCCAAUUCUAAAUGUGCUGAAGUAAGAAAACUUUAUUACUCCACAUAUUAUGAGGUGUUGUUAUCCUUCAUAGUUUUGAAUUGAGUUUCAAGAUAUGAUUCACAGUUACUAGAGCAUGGCUCUAAAACUUGAUUGGAACAAAGUAUGACUCAUCUAUGAUCAAACCAUUUCCUACAAUGUUCGAUUCCUCUUCUUAGUCAUAUAAUUGUACUAAGAUGUCCUUGGAGGAUUAAUUGUGAUACAAUUCCACAAUUACUAUGAUGAUCAUAAAACAUGAAACUAAAGCACUCUCCAUACUUUUCCAGAUUGGAGAAUCAUUUAUCUUUCUGCCUAAUAAAUUCUUCUAUUCGUUCUGCUACUCAUUGAAUCUUUUCAAAGUAUCAAAAUUUUGUUUAAUCUUAUAAACACAAUCACUUUUACUGAAACAUCAGUAAAUCAUGACUAAUAGAGUUAUCGUCCCUUGUGGUGGAUCUAAGGAGUCCAUAUAAACAUGUACUAGAUCCAUUAGUCCUUCAAUUGACUCACAUAAGCAUGUGAACAAAGAAUUAAGUCAUAAUUUUCCAAUGAACAAGAUUCUUAUAUAUUAUACAGUUCGAAUUGUAUGACACCAAGUAUUUAUCCAGUUGGUUAUGAGAUUUCUUUUCACUUGAUCAAUUAUGACAAUACCACAAGUGAUAUCACAAGAAUCAAAUCCACAAUUAAUAUUGCUAUUAUUAGAAACAUAACUGUGACAUCCCCAUUUUCACGGCCAGAAAAGACCGAUUUGUUUAUGCUUUGUUUUAUAAAAUCAGAGUAAUCUUUUAAAGAAAACGGUUGCGGAAUUUGUUCCCAAAACAAGAUAUGAUAAUAACUUAUCAAAACAUUUCUCAAAGAGAAUGUAUUUUCAUUUAAUAAUAAAACAUCGGGAUAUCAUGUUCCGAUACAGACAUAUAAGCAUAAACAGAACUUACAUUCAAUUACACUAAUGAUUUAUAUCUCCUUUAAAUCUCUCUGUGAAAUAUGUCUUCGUAUCGAUACCUGUGAUACAAAGAAAACUGAGUGGGUUAGGCUUGGGAGCCUGGUGAGCAUAUAGGGUUUUCAUCCCACAAUGUUAUAUCAUAUAUUUAUAAAUAUAGAAUUCAAACUUGUAUAGUUUCACCAUAUAAAGGCAACUCUUAUCCCACCCCAUCGAUCCUCACAACGACACGAUCUAAACUCUCGUAUCUAAAAUUUACCUCUUUACCUGAUCCCUAUUCACGGAUCUAAAACUAUCCUCUUCACCCGAUCCAUACUCACGGAUCUAAAACUAACCUUUUCACCUGAUCCAUACUCACGGAUCUAAAACUAACCUUUUCCCCUGAUCCAUACUCACGGAUCUAAAACUANNNNNNNNNNNNNNNNNNNNNNNNNNNNNNNNNNNNNNNNNNNNNNNNNNNNNNNNNNNNNNNNNNNNNNNNNNNNNNNNNNNNNNNNNNNNNNNNNNNNNNNNNNNNNNNNNNNNNNNNNNNNNNNNNNNNNNNNNNNNNNNNNNNNNNNNNNNNNNNNNNNNNNNNNNNNNNNNNNNNNNNNNNNNNNNNNNNNNNNNNNNNNNNNNNNNNNNNNNNNNNNNNNNNNNNNNNNNNNNNNNNNNNNNNNNNNNNNNNNNNNNNNNNNNNNNNNNNNNNNNNNNNNNNNNNNNNNNNNNNNNNNNNNNNNNNNNNNNNNNNNNNNNNNNNNNNNNNNNNNNNNNNNNNNNNNNNNNNNNNNNNNNNNNNNNNNNNNNNNNNNNNNNNNNNNNNNNNNNNNNNNNNNNNNNNNNNNNNNNNNNNNNNNNNNNNNNNNNNNNNNNNNNNNNNNNNNNNNNNNNNNNNNNNNNNNNNNNNNNNNNNNNNNNNNNNNNNNNNNNNNNNNNNNNNNNNNNNNNNNNNNNNNNNNNNNNNNNNNNNNNNNNNNNNNNNNNNNNNNNNNNNNNNNNNNNNNNNNNNNNNNNNNNNNNNNNNNNNNNNNNNNNNNNNNNNNNNNNNNNNNNNNNNNNNNCUUCGGCUCGGGAAUCUUACUUCUCGGGAUCUUCAGGACCUCGGGACUUGCUUCGGGGCUCGGGAAUGAUAUCGGGGCUUUGGGAUACUUCUAGCACGCAAAACGAUACAAAACGGGAGAAAGAGGAGAGAAUUUGGCAAAUGGAGUCGGCUGCCCUUGCAACCCUUUUAUAGGAGGUUGAGGCCUCGCAGUACGUUGGGCGUACUGCCUUACGCGAGACGUACUCCUCCGAAAUCAUCAUUGCAUGCGUCAUCCGAAGAACUCGAGUGCGAGGGCCGUCAUGCUUCGCUGUACGCUGGGCGUACUUCGGAUAAGUCCGAUGACUCCCUUCGGAUAAUGUCGGAUUUAAUAAUUAAAUUUAUAUAUUAAUUAUUUAAUAAACUUCAAAAUUUCAUAUCUUCUUCAUACGAACUCCGUUUUCAACGUUCUUUAUAUCCACGCGUAGGUGAGACUACGCUCUACAACUUUCGUUUAGACACCGUCGGCUAAUUUUGAUUUUAUUUUUAUUAUUUAUUUUUAGUAGGCCGGGACAGGAAAACUUCGUUAUAAAUUCAUAACUUCUUCGUCCAACGUCCGUUCUCGCCUAACUUUUUAUCGUUUAACUACAAUUAAUGAGAUCUUCGAUUCUCAUUUAGAUUGUUUCGGCUAAAAACUGCUCGGUCUCAAAUCGAGUAUUCGGGCUGCACACCGCUAAGUCGAAACUUAGAAAAAUCAUAACUUCCACAUACGAAGUCAGAUUUGGACGUUCUUUUUAUGCACGCUCAUGGUUUAACGAACUCUACGAAUUUUGUUUAGAUCGCUAAGGCUAAAUAUCGCUCUAACGCAAAUUCACCUUUUUACGUCGCGUUGUGUCGUGCCGGUUCUGUCGCGAAACUUCGACAGGUCAUAACUCCUUCGUUAUAACUCGGAUUUCGGCGUUCUCUAUAUGUACGGAAUCCUUGUAACAUAUACUACAACUUGGUUAAGAUUAUUCAUCCUAAAUAAUCUUCUAUAAAAAAGUCAUUUUUGACGUUUAUCGUCUCUAAUUGACUAGCCCGGAUCUACGGGCGUUACAAUAACCAGCACUUUCAUUGAUGUCUUUGCAAGGAAAUAAGAUAAGGCAACUAAGUAAACCAAAACUUUGCCUUUAUUGAAAUAAAUGAAAUUUUGGAACUUGUCCUUACAAUGCAUGAAAUGGAAACUAUAUUUUUAAACAUCUUUGAAAGGAGUAAUAUCAAUAUAUUAAAUUAUCCUAACUCCCUAGCAAUAGCUCCAAAUUCUGACCAUUGAACCAUGUGACCAAAGUUCAUUUCCCACGAUCAGAUUUAGCUCACUACGCUUAAGCUUCCUUCUUUCUUUUAGAUCCUGAAAUGCCAUCAAAACGUGAUCAUCACAUUAUGUAUUAAGAGUCUAAGAAUAGGAACUUAUGGAGUUAGAUAAUGGAUGUACCUGAAGUAGAGUCACACGACUUGACUUUACUCUCUUUAAGAUCUUUAAGGUAGUUUGGAAAACUUUGCUUCUAAUAUGCCUUCAAUUAACGGUAGAAACAAAUCGACUCAUUGGGGCCAACAUGUGGAAUGAUCUUAGAAUGAGACUUUCUCUUUACCAUACGAUCAAACACUUUGACCUUGGUUGAUCCCUUUCGAGUGGGAAGAGAAAUAUUUUCUAGAUCACUAAUGUUACCAUUGUCAAUUUCCAUAUAAUUCUUGGAAUUAGACCCUAUAAGCAAUUCUGCUUUAGUUGUGUUCUUAAGAAUUUACGCUUCAAAAACCAUCAACAUAUAGGUCAAAUCAAUUAGGGUUACAUCGAGAUUCCUCAUGUGAAAGUUUUUAACAAACUGACCAUAUGACUUAGAAAGAGAAAGAAGAACCAAAUCAUUGGCUUGCUCCUUUGGAAAUACGACACCCAUCCUUUCCAACUUGUCAAUGUACGACUUCAUUUUCAGAACGUGUGCACACAUAAUUUUCAUAUUCAUGCUUACAUGUGAUAUUGCCAUAUUUAUACACGUUUUUAGAUAUUAUUUUACACUUUAAGCUCUAAUUUGGUUAAAUGUAAAGAUAUUUGGUACUUAUUGAGUUUAAGUACAUUUUGCAACAAAAAAGGACAUUCUUGAAGAAAAGGGCAAAACUGAACAAAAGUUAGAAUUUAGAGGACUGAAGCUGAAAAAUAGAAAAGAAAUCGUAUCCAUCAUGUGCGAACGUAUGAUUGGAUGCGAUUAGCCACGAGUCGUUAGGAAUGGAAAGUCAAUGCGAAUGGAUGCGAUCCUAUACAAGCGUCGUUGCGACCAAACGAGAGGAGAUCUGAACCAAAGUGAAAGUCAAUGUGACUUGAUGCGAAAAUGAAAGCCAGUGUGAUUGGAUGUGAAAGUGAGAGUCGUUGCGAAAGGAUCAGAUGCGAACGAGUUUUCACUGCGAAAGGGCUAUAAAUUGCUUUCAGUUGUGAUUGGAAACUUCCAAAUGGGGGCGUUGUAAUAGGGAUCACGAAUUAAGAUCUAUAAGCUGUCGACGUGAGCAUGAUUAUUUUAGAAGCUAACAACGUGGAAUGCAAGUUUCCUUGUCAAACACAAAUUAUAUUGAUCUCACAACAUGAGACCCUAAUUAUCAUGACGUGAGAUGUGUUAUAAGGAAACUGUAAAUGCCCCUUUACAUAUUCGAUUUUAAGGAGGUUGGAUUGAUAUUCUGGAAAUUAUAGUCGAUUUUCAGAAGCUAGAGACCUAGGAAAAUAAUCCCUUUGAAGAAGAAUUCAAUUGGAGAUUGAAUAUUUGAAGAAUCAAAGCAAGAAUUCACACUACACAUUUGGUUUGCAUUAGAUUUAUCAUGUCUAGUUUGAAUUCUAUAAUGUUUAUGUGUUUAUUUUCUACCAUGAGUAGCUAAAUCAUUAGGCUUUCGUUUAGAGUAGAUGAACCUUAAUACUAUGUGUUAGUUUCUAGCUUUUCAUGGAUUUUAUAAAGUUGGUUUGAGCUUGUGUUUGGUUAUCAUAACCUAGCAUGUUAAAGUUCUAAUAUUUGUUGCUUUAGUUCAAGUUAGGUCUAGUUGAACGACCAUUUUAAUUGCAUGAACUUUAUUAUUUGUUAGUUUAUGAUCAUUAAAUUGCUAGAGGUAGGAUUAACCAGAUCUUACAUUGAGUAAUAAAGGUAACAACUUUAGCUGUGUUAGAGAACAUAAUUUGAACAUAAUUGUGUGUUAGUUUAUGAUCAUUAAAAUAAUAAUGAACGACCAUUUUAUAUUUAAGUUGAUCCUAUAAUAUUAUAUAGGAUCAAGUUAGGUCUAGUUGAACGACCAUUUUAUAUUUAAGUUGAUCCUAUAAUAUUAUAUUUAAAUUUAUAAUUUAAGUAUUUUUUACAAAUUGUUCAAAAGUUGUCGCUUUAAAAUAAUAAUGGUUUAUAUCCAACAAUAUAUUAAAACUAAUAAAUUAGGUAUAAUAUGUUAAAAGUUAAAAAAAAAUAACUUAAGAAAUAGAAGUAAAUAUAUUAUUUUACUAUUGAAAUUUAGUGUAUAUAUGAUUACACUCUAGGUUUAAUAUUUAUCUAACCUUAUUAACCAAAUUAUAAUUAUUAUUAGAAAGAAACUGAAAAGUCAUGGGAGUUUCAAAUGAAUGUGGUGAAAGGAAAAAUACAUGGGAGUUUAAAAUGAAUGUGGUGAAAGGAAAAAUGUUUCCUUUAUAAUAUAGUAUGAUAUGAUAUGAUAUAAUAUGAUCAGUAAACAACUAAAUAAGGGGGUGUUUGGCUAAGCUUUUUAACAACUUAUUAGGUUCCACACCACUAUAAGUUAAAAAAGUGUUUGGAUGAAAAUAACUUAUUCCGGUGGGGAACCUCUAAUAAGUCAUAUUUUUCAUAACUUACCCUACACUUACUUAUUAACUUAUAAGCUAAUAAGCUAAUAAGCAAUAAGUUUUUUUUGCCAAACACCCCCUAAAUCCAUAUUCAAAAACUAUCCAUAGGAAAAAGGGGGAUUCAUAGCUAAACGGAAGUGUUCUCAUAAUCUUGAUUACAAUCAUUCUUAGUUGAGAGUUUGAUUAGUUUUUAGUUAAGCAAUUAGUUAAGUUAAUCUGAACCUGCAAAAUCAGAUAAAAAACCCCCCUUUUUAGUUAUUGUUUUUAGAUUAAUUUUUAGUAAGUAUUUUAUUAGCUAAAUCAUGUUCCCUAUAUUCAAUAUCCUACUUAUUUUACUAUACUACAAAUUGGCUAGGUACACUACCUAUAGGUGUAUUAGUAGAUAAGUAGUUAGGUUUAUAAAAUUAAAAGUUGAUAGGUAUACUUAUUACAUAUCAUGUUUUUUGGCGCCGUUGCCGAAGAACGACUAUUUUAGUUUUUAAUUUAAUUGAUUUAGGUUAAUUGAUCAUUUUUGUAGGGUAAAAACCACAACAAGUUAAUUUUCUACAAAAGUUAUUUUUCUGAUUAUACAGUUCUCACGAUGUGAGUUCGGUACUUUUUAUUUUUUCAAUUAUUUUCUUUCUAGUUCGUUUUUAUGCGUUUUUGUUUUUUUUAUCACAGUGAUUUAUGACCCAAGGAUCCAUAACUCCAAUAAUUCCACCACUUAAAAAUCCAAAUUCAGCUUUCCACAAAAAAGAAGGACAAGAAGGUCGACAAGUCAAGUAGCACUUUCCAAUUUGACACAUUCGAGCUCUUUGAGAAGACUUUAGGUUAGAAUGGAACCGGGUACGAGCCAAAAAUAAGGAAGAUUCAUGAGAAGAAAUAAAAAGCAAGGGAACAAAAAAUGGCAGACAUUACGACCGUGACAAUGGAGGAGUACAAGAAGAGAUUGCGAAAUGACAAUGGUCUAGGUUAAGUUCCACCAUAAAUUUCAGCUGCAACGGGUUUUGAGGUAAAAGGACAUAUCCUUUCGAUGCUAAAAGACAUACCAUUUUAUGGGAAAUAGUACGAAGAUGCAUUCAAACAUAUUGAUGAAGUCUUGGACAUUGCUAAUUAUUUCAAUGUUCCAAAUGUUACAAGAGAUGCACUUUUACUAAGGAUGCUUCCAGUAACCCUUACUAGAGAUGCAAAAAUUUGGCUGAAGUCUUUCACACCUAGAAUUAUAAGAACCUGGCAAAACCUUCAUGAAGCGUUUAUCUAGAAAUUUAUUCCUCCUUCAAAAAUUGUCAAACUCAAGAAAAAGAUUUGCUAAUUCUCAACAAGAAGAUGGAGAAUCCAUAUACGAAGCUUGGGAAAGAUACAAAGGCCUUUUGAGAAAUUGUCCUCAACAGAUGGGGUGAAUGUUACAACAAGGAAACUCCUUGAUUCGCAAGGCACAAUAACAAAGAAAGAUCUAGACACCAUUAAAAAAUGAAGAUAAAUCCCAAGGAGUUAAAAGAAAGCAUGAAGCUUGCGACCACCAAACGAAGAAAGAAAAUUCAAAGAAAGUGUACAUAAGACGAGUUCAAGCUUACAAGAGGAGGUGGAAGAAAGAAAAGGAUAAUAAGGAGAUUCUGCUUUCAACUAACGCAACGUAGAGCGGGAAGGAGUCCGACUCACAACUCCUCAAAAAGAAGCACUUCUCGGGUGGCAACACGAACUCGAUUUGCAUUUUCAUUUCCUUUCUUUUAGUUAGUUAUGCACUUCUUUUAUUUGAUUUUUAGGAUAGUCAUCUUAGUCAUCUUCUAUUUAAAAUAAAAAUCAAGUGUGGGAUUCAAUUUAUGAGUGGUGAAAAAUUUUAAAAGAAAAAUUGAAUGGUGUUUGCAAUUAAUCAGAACCACGAUGUGGAAUUAAGAACCUGUAGAGUGGGGAAUAAAAGAAUGACCUUUUUUUUCAACUUUUUAGAACUCAUGACAUGAGGGCAAAAAACUCACGAUGUGAGUUUCGGAGGGAACCAUAUACUUUUUAUUUCCCAAACAUAACCAUUUGACUAACUUAUUACUACCACUUACAGCUUGAGUUCAACGAAAUCAUCUCCUCGUCCCGACUUGACUUUUGCGGCUGAACUUAGCAUUUUCCUUCUAGAUUUUGUGUUCCAACUUUAACUAAGGUAUGCGAUACUUGUUUAAAAACUCUUUAUUUUGCUGAUUUUGAACAUUUAGAGUCAAGGGUUUGUUCUUAGGUUGCAUAUGUCGAAAUUGGUCUGAUUUCUUCCGAAAUUGUUGGUGCAUGUUUGAUUUUUGGUCUUAGAAUCACUCCUUAAGCAAGACUUUAGUGAUAUUUGGGUGCGAUUUUUCCUCGAUGUUAAAGCCAUCGCCGAACCUAGCUCAUGACAUCAACUAUAAUACUCACGACAUGAGAAUUGAGUUAACAACAUACUCGUUUUCUGUUUAGUAUUAACUGUCGUGGUGUUUGGUUUGGGUUUGGUUUGUUGUUUAUUUUGAAGGUGUAAUGGGUCCGAAAAGUACCUCAAUAGCCUCAAGGAGAUGUAUCGAGCUUUCAUCCCUUUUAUGAGUUUCUGGAUGAUCUUCCACGAGAUAUCUUGAAUAAUUACACAAACAAACUGGGACGGCUUUAUAAAUGGGAAUUUGCCAUUUCACCAACUAUUGACUAGGCCAAACUUAAUGAGAUCGGGAUUUUGUAGAGGUUACAGUUGUACCUCACAAAGGUGUUUGUAGAAAAUGGGGUUUCUUUUACAUGCUACGGAUGGAAGAAUUUAUUCUCGAUCAAAGAACCGGUUUUCAAAGAGUUGUGUGUUGAUUUUUCUCAACGGUUUCCUUUAAAGCGAAUAUAGUGGAUCCUCAAUAUGCAAGUGCUUUAGUAUUCCAUCUUGGUGGAGAAUAUUGAGAUUGUAGUUUGGCCGAAUUAUCUUGGAGAAUGGGAUUAUAUGAGAAACACGAAGCGAUGUCUCCUAUUUUUGAUAUAUUUUUAGGGCGGCUGCAAGCGACUAUUAUGCCGAGGUAAAUGGGUAUGUUUUUGGUCAACUAUCGCUAAUGGAGAAUAUCAUUCGGGGGUAUCUCAAGAGAGCCAAAUCCAGUCUCCCAUCCAUCGCCUAAUUCACUGCCUAGUGAUAUUUUCCAUUAACCAUAAAAACAUGGAGAUAAGGUCACAAGUCUCAAUUUAUUUUUCAUAUGGAGUAUAAUCAUGCAAGAAGUUUGCUAUAAUAUCCCCUAUUUUAUUGCAUNNNNNNNNNNNNNNAAGGCAGUCAGUUCAAGAGUUGGAAGUCCAAUAGCGGGUGGUCACUUUGUCACCCGAUUGGCAAGAUCCUAUGGUAUGUUUGUUCCACGGGUGACUCGUACAAUGACGUGUAUUGAGGGAAAUGAUCUUACGUUGAGUUUUUUUGGAGUCGAUGAGUGUCAUAGUGAAUAUUAGAACACAUUGGGGAAUCCCAGUCAACGAUGAAGUAGUGUCACUUCAGCAACUCGAAGAAUAGUCGAGGCCACGAGGAUGCCGAAAUGUGAGAGGACGAGGAGAGAAAAGCCAACCACAACAAUUCCAGGACAUGCCCGUUGGAGGUGUACCCACCGACCCUUUCUAAAAUCGGGUUGGGUAUUAUUUGGAUAACAUUCUAGGUGUCAUACAUUAUCAAAACCAAGCAACCAAUGGAAUUUAUAUGCAUUUUUGAGAUUGAGUGCCAACCCAACAUGCCACCACAAGCGCCAUAUAUUCUAUCUUGGGAAUAAAUUUGGGCAUCCCGCGACUUUGGGGUCGGGUCGAGUGGAGCGCAUGGAGACAGAGAUGAUGAAUGACUUAUUAUCCUUUUUUUUUUAGUUUUUAGUUUAUAUUUCUUAUUUAUUUUUGGUGUGUUUUUAUUUUUAUUUUGAUUAUUUGAAGUGAUGUAACCGAAUGUUGGUGUGUUUUCUUGCAACCAAAUGUUUGUUCGUAUUCGCAAAAUUAUUAUAAUAUUAAGAGAAAAAAGAGAGCCGAGAGAGUUAGAGUUUUAAAACUGAAGAGCACACUUUUUAAUAAGUGUAGGGUGACAAUUGUGUGCGAUUAGAUAAGAAAAGAGAGAGAGUUACAAAAAAAUAUGGGUCUUAAAAUAAGUCUUAAUGACUUAAGAGGGAAAUAGAGGUUUCCACCAUAAAGAAUUUAAAGAAGAACUGCAAUCUGCCAAGGUCUAGUUCUCACGACGUGAGAUUUAUCCUUCACAUCAUGAGCUUGAUAUAAUCACGAUUCAGAAGUCAUUUUUUCCAGACUCACGUCAUGAAUUUCUAUUCUCACGACGUGAGGUAUCAGAUAUAAAACGUGGCGUAUGCUUUCCCACACUAUGAUGCAUUACUUUGAAGAUUUUAUGUACCACACUUUUUGAAGAUACAAGUCUUUGGUUUACAUUUUAUUCGGCACAUUCACGAGUGGAAGCAAAAGUCCGGUUCCAAUAACAUAUUCAAGAUGUUCGAGCUUUCCCACAACAAUCAGAAUUCGAUAUCGCCACUACUACUCCAGGAGAGUCUAUUCCUUUUAUUGCAUUCAUAGCAUACAAUGAUGGAAUUGUAUGAAAUAAGUGUGGAGUAGGGGUCAAAAAAGCAUAUCAAGCAUAAGAAUAAUUAACUAGAAAAAUGCUAGAAAAUUUUGAAAAUUAAUAGGCUUGCAAAAAUAGUCUAAUAAAUCUAGUAAUUCUAAAAUUUUGAUAUUAUUGCAUAUGGGUAAGUUUUCUAUUAUUAUGUGGGAUGAUUCGAUAAGAACCCUCAGAUUUCGUUGAGCAAAAUAUGUUAUAGUGUAUUUGUGGCUUCACAAUCUCAGUGAAAUUGUGGAAUAAAAACGCAAACAUGUUUAGUUUGAGGGACAUAAAAAGUUUAGCACAUUGUACCAGAAAUUAUUCAGUAGAGUUUAUUUAGUCAUUGCACUUUAGACUAAUAUCUUUAACCAAUAAGGGUUGAAGCUAAGUUCCAUUGCUUAAACAUGUGUUUUUCUUUUUAGGAUUUCUAGUUUUGAGUGAAAAAAAAAGUGAGUUGUGAAAAAGAAAAAAAGUUGAAAAAGUUUGAGUGAAUAAGAGUCUCCAAAGCUACAAAUAUCAAGAAAUAUUAUGAAUAAAUAUUCAAAAAGUUCCAAAUAUUGAAGACUCAAGUUGAAUAAAGUUCAAGAAUAAGGCAAAAAUUGCCAAAAGACAAAGUUACUUUUAUUGUAAUUUUUCUUUCUAUAUUAUUUUUCCAUAUGUAUGCUUGGGAGGUUAACCAAAAAUAUUUCAAGGUUAAGAAAAAUUUUUGGGGAUGGAUUCAGAGGGAUGCAUAAAAUGAAUGUUGUUCAAAAUAAAUGGAAAGCGUUUAUGAGGAUCAUAAGUAUUUAGAGCUGGGAGGUAAUUAGGAUUUUGACACAAAGAUAUGCAUUGAAGUAAGGCAUAAUUAUUGGGUUCAAUUUGGAUUGACUUGUGUCAUAUUGGUGGACAUGGUUAUAUGUGAUGUAUUAAAAGAUAAGUUUUGCUUGAGGGCAAUCAAAAAGCAAGUGUGAGGUAUUUUGAUAUUGUCAUAUUUAUACACAGUUUUAUGCAUUAUUUUAAUACAUUUUAAGCUAUAAUUUGGUUAAAUGCAAACAUAUUUGGUACUAAUUGAUUUUAAUUAUAUUUUGCAUCCAAAAAGAACAUUCUUGAAGAAAAGGGUCAAAACUAAACAAUAGUUGGAAUUUAGAGGAUUGAACCUGAAAAUAGAGAAGAGAUCGUAGCCAUCCUAUGGGAACGUAUGAUUGGGUGUAACUAGCCACGAGUCGCUGUGAACAAAAAAUCUAUGUGAAUGGAGGCGAUCAUAUAUGAGUGUCGUUGCGACCAAACGAGAGGAUGUCGAAACCAAAGUGAAAGUCGAUGCGACUGGAUGUGAAAGUGAAAUCUGAUGUGAUUGGAUAUAGGAGGAUUAGAUGUGAAAGUAGAAUUAUGGCGAAAGGAUCAGAUGUGAACUAGUGUUCACUGCGAAAGGGUUAUCGACUGCGAUCACUUGCGAUUGGAAGCUUCCGAAAUUGGGGCAUUGUAAUAGAGCUCACAACGUAAGAACUAUAAGCUCACAGCGUGAGAAUUAUUAUUGCAGCUUUCACUGAAAAGAUAAAGUUGGUUCCUUAGCUGGUUCCUACUAAGCUUUCCGAUGUAAAUAAGUUUGCUAGUGGCCUACCGACAUAUUUUGGUCCGACAGUGAAGCUUGCAACUACUCUAAAAGCAAACAUCUAGGUAGCUAAGAAUGUGGACACCCAAAUAAAGGAAAAAGGUCUGGAAAAGCUGAAAUUUGGGAGAAAAUGAAGUUUGAGGGAUCUUCAAGACACGAUAAGAAAAGUAGGUUUCCAUAUCAAAAUACUUAUUGUUCUACUUACGGGGGUGAUGUCUAGGCUAGAUUUAGUGAGGUGUUUAAAGUGGGAUUUCCAAACAGUAUACUUUGUAUACCAAAUGGACCCUACCUCUGAUAUGAUCUUACCUAGUUACUCCUUAUCAAUUAUAGAUCAAUAGACAUUGGUGUUGUUGAUGAAUCUAGACUAUCACUAGUCAUAAUAAAUAUAAUACUAAGACUUAGUGAUAAUCAUAGCUAGUUCACAUCAAAGGAAAAGAUAAGGUGUUAGGCGGAGCGUUGCCAAAAUCACCAGUCAUCUACUUUUAACAAGGGAUUUCAUGGUUACUUUUAUCUUACACAUAAAUAUGAAGUAUUUAGAUAAUUGAAUGAUAUAUGUGCUUAUUAUCUGUGAUUAAGAUAUUUUGUGUUAGAUAAAACAAUAUGACAUAAUUUUUAUUUAACCAUAUAUGUAUUUUUAUACUUAUAAUAUAUAGGGUAAUGGGAGGUGAAGAUAGAUGAAAAUAA
rnacentral:lncRNA from 1 species